rnacentral:lncRNA from 1 species
CCAUCGCCGCUGCCGCGGACCUGCGAGCCCUUAUCAUCGAUGUUUUCUCAGAUGCCGCCUUCCCUGUGGCGGCCGCCCUUGGCGUCCCGACCUACUACUACUUCACCUCGGGUGCCGCUGCCCUCGCCGCCUUCCUCCACCUUCCAACCCUCCACGGGAGCACCACCAAGAGCUUCAAGGACCUUGGAGACGAGACCGUGAACAUUCCUGGGUUGCCUCCAAUCAAGGCCUCGGACAUGCCGGGGGGCAUGCUUGACCGAAGCUGGAGAAUGUACGGCUACUUCUUGGAUGCUUGCAGGAACAUGAUCUCGUCGUCCGGCAUCAUUGUUAACACGUGCGAGUCGCUUGAGAGUCGGAUCAUCAGAGUCAUCAAAGAAGGAUUGUGCGUGCCAGACCGGCCGACUCCGCCUAUUUUUGCCGUUGGGCCUUUGGUUGAGUCAAAGGUUGACGGCGACGAGGGCGGUGGCGACAAGAGAGAAAAAAGGCACGAGUGCUUGAGUUGGCUCGACUCGCAACCGAGCCGAAGCGUCGUGUUCUUGUGUUUUGGCAGCGAGGGAAGGUUCUCCGCUGCGCAGCUGAAGGAGAUGGCCUCCGGUAAGCUUUCGUUUCGCGCAAAAAUUACUUCACGUACCGCUGCUUAAUUCAAAUUCAACUGUCCUGUUCAUUAGGUUUGGAGAGAAGCGGGGUGAGAUUCCUGUGGGUGGUGCGGCCUCCGCCGCGGGAUGCGUCCGCAAAAUCAACAUCGGGGUCAAACGAUGGCGACGACACGAGCAUAGAGAAGUUCAUGCCGGAGGGAUUUCUGGAGAGGACAAGAGAGAGGGGGAUGGUGGUGAAGUCGUGGGCACCGCAGAUACAGGUGCUGAGCCACGGCUCGGUGGGCGGGUUCGUCACUCACUGCGGCUGGAACUCGACUAUCGAAGCAGUGCACGCCGGUGUGCCAAUGGUGGCCUGGCCUCUCUACGCGGAGCAGAAGGUGAACAGGGCGUUUCUCGUGGAGGACGCCGCCCUGGCGCUCCCACUGAGCAUGUCGGACGAGGACGGGUUCGUGAGUGCGGACGAGUUAGCCAAGCGGGUCACCGAGCUGAUGGUGGGCUCGGGAGAAGGAAAAGUGGUCAGAGAGCGGGUCUUGGCCGCAAGAGACGGCGUGGUGGAGGCCUUGAGCGACGGCGGAUCCUCUCAGGUUUCAUUGGCCGCGGUAGCGACACUAUGGAAACGAGGCUGAGACCCUAGCGCACUCACUGUCAAUCGAUUAGCUGACCUCAAUAGGGAGGUGUCACAACGACCAAAUUAGAGUACUAUGUCAUAAGGAUGAGCAUCCGUCGAGGAUUACCCAUGGACCUGGAUCAGCCUAAUUCGGCUUAUCUUGAUCCGGUUUUUAGGGAAACUAGGGGGAUCCAUGGACCAUGUAUUGUGCGUAUUGAUUCUCAGUUUUGACAUUUUAGAAUUGAUCCAACUCGAACCAAUCUUUUAUAUAUAUUCUCUCUAUUCUUCUUAUGUGGUUCUACUAGGUAGAUUAGGAAGUAAAAACCCAUCCCUGAUUUAAUCAAAAAAAUAAUUAAAAAAACCCCUCUUCGCUCACCUCGCUACUCAUCUCACGAACGCUGCUCAACUAAUGAAAUCGCUCACCUCUCUCAGCCCGCCUUACAAACACAGCUUGCUCACCUCUUAAAUUUCACAUAAUUAUUUUUUAUGGUUUGUUGUUUAUAGCAAAUAAAGAACUAUGCGGUGCAAUCUUGCCAAGUUUUUUAGACAAUUUCAAUGAGGAAAAGAUGAGACAAUAGCACUAAAGAACUGGCAAUUACAAUCUCAUGGCGAGAGCGGCUUUUGCUCGUGGUAUCCCUUUUGAGUUUUAGAGUAUUUAUUUGGUAUCACUAGUAAGUUGGAGAAAAAGAUGUAAUUUGAUUUAUUUCCUUUUUGUAUUUACAUUAAGUUGGGAGAAGAUGGUGAGCUUGCUAUUAUUAUUUAAUUGUUACAGAACUUUCUUUUGUUUCGUGGCGGGAGAUUGUGAUUUUUUUUUUUUUUUGGAGUGCCGGUAAAUUUCAAGAGGUAUUGAUGAGUGUAAAAAGCCUAUUGGUGGACUAUUAAUAUAUUUAUGAGAUUAUCAAUUUUUUAUAAUUUUUAAUUUAGUAAUUUCUUUUCGUCACACUUCAAGUUUGCUAAAUUUUAUAUGAAAUUAUCAACCAACCUAAAUCAGUGCCACUCACCAUUUUUUUUUUCUGAUCACAUUAUCUCUAAAUGUUUUGCUAGUUACUCUCAAUCACGCUUCUUAUUGACGUUAAUUUGGUUCUCUUUUGACUUUUCUUAUUGUUUACAAAAUUUUAUUGGAUUAGUACCUUGAAAAACAUUUAUCUCAAACUAAUUUUUUUACUAUAAAAAAUCUCAAACUAAUACGCCUGUGACAAAUUUACCCUAAAACAAUUUUUUGACCAUAAAAAAUUUCAAACUGAUACACUUGUAAUAAAUUUACUCUAUAUUAACUUUCGUCAAACUUUACCCUUAAAUUUGCUAAAUGGAUGACACAUGUUGACGUGGCAAGUCCAUGUGAAAAUUCAUAGGGUUAAUGUCACGAAAAAUCCCAAAUUUGUCACGAGCAUAUCGUUAAAUUUAUUAUGAGAGUACUAUUAAAUUAUCACAGAAGUAUUGUUAAAUUUGUCACAGAUGUACCGAUUUAAGAUUUUUUUAUGAUAUUUACCAUAUGGAUUUCCAGGUAGACUUGCCACAUCACUACACUACGUCACCAUGUGUCAUCUAAGUAAGCAAAUUUAAUGUUUAAAUUUGACGGAAGUUAACAAAAGGUAAAUUUGUCAUAAGUAUACAAAUUUGAGGUUUUUGAUGGUCAAAAAGUUAGUUUUGGGAAAAUUUAUCAUAGAUCUAUUAAUUUCGGGUUUUUAGUGGUCAAAAAAUUAGUUUUUGAUAAAUUUAUUACCAAUGUACCAGUUUGAGGUUUUUUGUCAUCAAAAAAUUAGUUGAGAAUAAAUUUAUCAUAAGUCUACAAAUUUAGGAAUUUUUAGAAUAUUAACCCAUUUUUAUUUGUGUUUCUACAAAUUUAGGAUUUUUCAGAAUAUUAACCCAUUUUUAUUUCUGUUUGUAGCGAUUCUUGAAGUCUAUUGACCCUUUUAAGAGAUUAUUAACCUUGAUUAGAAUAAUUUAUCAUCUUUUCUCCAAUCAAGUUACUUUUUAAUUUGGGUUAUCAACUUAUAUCUAAGUUGCUUACUAAAUUUAUUAAUUCUCCAUCAAUUAUUAUCAAUUUUAUUUGCUUUUCGUUAAUUACAUACCAAAUUUACCGACUCCAAUGACGUCGACAACCACAAUGGUGUGAAAAAAUACUAGCUAGGUCUAUCUUACUGUUUGGGCACUAGGACACGCCAUUUAGCUUUGGCCAUGUAUCUAGGUUAGGUUCACUGGCUAGUCUCUUUUGAUGUUAAAAAUGCCUUCCUACAUGGAACAUUACAUGAGACAAUGUAUAUGGAACAACCACCAGGUUUUAUACAUCCUAAAAAAUCUCAAUAUGUGUGUCUCCUUAAGAAAUCCUUAUAGAGUCUUCGACAAGCACCACGUGCUUGGUUUGAUAAGUUUAGCAAUUUUCUUCUUGAAAAUGGCUUCUUUUGCAGCAUAACUGAUCAUUCACUUUUUGUGUUUCAUAAUGGGUCAGAUACAGUAAUUUUGCUGCUCUAUGUAUAUGAUAUUGUGCUAACUGGCAGCUUAGAUCAAUUGCUAUCUAAACAGAUCAAGUCUCUAAGUCUUCAAUUCCACAUGAAAGAUCUUGGAUACCUUCAUUAUUUCUUAGGAAUUGAAGCCAAACGUACAUCCUAAGAUCUAUUUCUUUGUCACACAAAGUAUGCUCUUGAUCUUCUUACUUGAGCUAACAUGAAAGAGUGUAAACCUAUUUCAACUCCUUUGUCUCUGAGAUCAGCCAUCAUGGCAACUGAUGGCAUUCCCUUGACCAAUCCACUUGAGUAUAGAAGUCUAGUUGGUGGUCUUCAAUACCUCACCAUAACUCGACAGUUCUUGCCUAUGCAACAAAUCUCUUAUGUUAGAAAAUGCAGCAGCCAACACUUGGAGAUUUUCAUAAGCUAAAAAGGGUUCUUCGCUAUGUUAAAGGAACUGUUAAUCUUGGUAUUUUCAUCCAUUCUAACAGAUCUAUGAACCUAUAUGGAUUUUCUUAUUUUGAUUGGGCUGGAUGUAAUGCUACCAGGCGAUCAACUACUAGUUUCUGCACAUAUCUUGGCUCUAACCUCAUUUCUUGGUCAGCAAAGAGACAACCUACCAUGUCUCGUUCAUCAACAAAAGUUGAGUAUUGAGGUCUUGCAUCAAUUACGGCUAAUCUUAUAUGGAUCAGCUUUGUUCUCUGUGACAUUGGAAUAUGUCUGUCUGGACAAACAAUUCUGUUUUGUGACAAUAAGUCUGCUAUUUCUCUUACUAUAAUCCUAUUAUACAUGCUCUCACUAAACAUAUUGAAGUGGAUUUUCAUUUUGUUCGAGAGAAAGUGUCCUUAGGGUCCCUAGUUGUUCGAUAUGUUCAUACUACUCAUCAGCUUGCUGAUAUCUUUACUAAAUCUUUAUCCCAUUUAGCACACUCUACUCUUUGCACCAAAUUGGGUCUGGGUUAUAUACCCCUUCCCAAUUUGCGGGGGAUGUUAAAGAUCAUGAAACGAAGCUUGUGGAAGUAAAGUCUACACAAGUAAACUCAGCAAAUGUUGCUGUUUUAUCAAAGAGAAAAUGAGGAAUAUGCUGCUAGUAUGCUACUACAAGAAAGAGUAGUAAGUUGACAGUUGUAUUAGCGACAAGUGCACAUGGAGUCGAUGGAGGUUCAACUAAGAAGAACAGAGUCGACAAAGUCAGAAGCCCAACUUAGAGCUCAAUUCAGAGCUCCACGUGUUCGAAUACAAAUGGAGCUUUAUUUUUAUUUUAUUUUAUUAUUAUUAUUUUUUUUGGUGACCUAGAAACCCCGUACAACCGGCAGCGGGCGAGUAAACUUGGGGGGACACGUAAGCGGGAGAACCCACCGCCCCCGGUGUCCACUUAAGACCCCAAGCGACCGUGAGGGAAUUCAAACUCCUCCCCUUCGUGAGGGGGAGAGAGCCCAAACCAUCGCGGCCACCCAGGCGAUGAUAAUACAAAUGGAGCUUUAUUAAUAAAGAACCGUUAUUCUGUUUUACAAUACUGACAGAAUAAGCAACAGUUUAUUUUUUCUGUUAAUUCUGUUUCUUCCUUCUUGGUUUCUUUAGAUCAUGUAGUAUAAAAGAGAGAAGAAGGGGAAUAUGUGGAUUGAGCUCUCGGAUGAACAUUUUCUCCAACUGUUCAUUGGAUACAGAAUACAGAGGAUCAGAAACACUUUCAUUUCAUCGUUGUUGUUCAUUCCAUUUUUCUUCACAUGGGGGACGUGACUGGAGGACCAUUUCUCGAGCCACAUUUCUUUGGAGGCGGGGGCUUCAAUGCCUUGUAUGCCCAUCCAAGAACACCUACCACCACUACCACCGCAAUAGGCCCCAACAUCGCUGGAAACAAAAGGAGUGGCCAUUGGGUAAUCUUCCAGCUUAGAAAGAGAUAAUGUUAAUAUGCCCUAGAAGCCACAGACAUAUAUGCAUAUAUCAACAGCCUAGAGUAUGACAGCAACCAGCAUUCUCCACCAGGAUCAAGAUGAUGUUUCAAUCCUAAUUAAAAUGAUAAAUCCUCUGAUAAUUGUAUAAUCACUUCUUUAUCUUUCCUCUUCCAUUUAUUAAUAUAUUUGGCCACGGCAAAUUAGACAUUCAAUCAAGCUCAGUCAGUAAUCAUCAACGAUCGUUAAGAAAACUCGUCACAAAACGACUCAGAUGAGCAAAACAAGACUCGCAGAAUGCCUGUGAAAAUCUCAUCCUGGGAUUGUAACCAAUUAAAAAAGUAAAGGCAACAUAACGUAGCUUGUGAUACAUAGUAAAGAUGGUCGGAGAGCUUUAUGUUAAUCAUAUUGAAGCAUCCUUCAUGCAUUUAUGUCGAUCCGAUUCACUUAAAUCAACAAUCGACUGCCAUAAAUCGGACUCAAACUCUACGUUUCACUCUUUAAAAUUCCAGAAGCAGCCAUCCACUUAGGACCUGCUAACCAAUUACUCAAAAAAACCUUCUUCUUCUUCUUUUUUUCUUUUUUUCCAUCUUCUGAUAAAUCAACGCGUUUCCCGCAGGUGUACACAGUUGAGUUAGAAGUAGAGCUCAAUCAGCUUAAAGAAGAGAACGAGAAGCUCAAAAGGAUUGUGGUAAAAAAAAAAAAUCGUUUUAUCUCAAAACUGCCACUGCGCUCACUUCACUGCAUAAUCUGACUAUUCUCUACUUCUUGCCGUUUUGGGCAGGCGGAGAGCGAGCAGAAACGCAGAAAGGAGGUAAAAUUUAGUCUGAACAUUCAUCUACAAGCAUGAUCUCGCCUCAAUUCAGACCCGACUGCUGCACGUGUCGUGUGAACUUUUUGAGCGCUAACGUUGUAUCCAUGACAGAUGAUGAUGAAAUGGAAACUGCCAACCAAGGCGGAGAAGGCAGCUGAGAAGUUCAAGUUGAUGGGGAGGACGGCGAGCAAUGCGUGGUGAAGGAGACGCCAUGUUCGAAGCACACCGAGUUCACAGUUCUUGUUAUAUAUAUUUAUAUAUACAGUACAUAUAAUCUGAUGGCUAGUUCUAUAUAUGAUGUCGUUGCAAUUUGCAUGCAUGCAUAAGCAGAUCAAAAAAUAAAAAAUAAAAAAUCAGGUAAUAAUAACAAUAAUAUGUAUGUUAAUAAGGUCGGCUUUUGCGUGGGGAUUGAAAGGGUAUGCAUGUACUGUCGGGCAUUUGACUUAUAUAUAUGUACAUGUCUAUGUAAUUUAUAGCAGACAGAUGUAACUUGCAUUUCCUUUUUUUCUUUCUGGGGCCCUUCUGAUUAGUCUCUCUCGUUAUUUACUUGUUGAAUCUUUUGGAAGCUGGAACUAUGUGAUGCAAUCUUGCCAAAUUUUUCAGACAAUUUCAAUGAGAAAAGGAGAGACAAUGGCACUGAAGAACCGCCAAAUGCAAUUUCAACGGGAAAGCUACUUUUGUUUUUGGUUUCCUUUUUGAGUUUUUGAGCAUUUUAUUUGUUAUCAAUAGUAAGUUAAAAUAAAAAGAUGUAACUUGAUUUAUUUCCUUUUUGUAUGUACAUUACGUUGGGAGAAGGUGGGAAGCUUGCUAUUAUUAUUUGGUUGUUACAGAAUUAUUCUGUUUCGUGGCGGGAGAUACGAAUUAUUAUUUUUUUCUUUUUUUGGACGGUGAAUUUCAAGAAGUAUUGCAAAGUGUAAAAGGCCUUUUGGUCCACCAUUAAUAUGUUUAUGAAAUUAUCCACUUUUUUUAUAAUUUGUAAUUUAGUAAUUUCUUUUAGUCACACUUCAAAUUUGCUAAAUCACAUAUGAAAAUAUCAACCAACCUAAAUUAGUACCACUCACCAUUUUUUUCCCGAUUACAUUAUCUCUAAUUGUUUUGCUAGUAACUCUCAAUCAAGCUUCUUAUUGACUUUUAUUUGAGAAAAUCGUUUACAAAUUUUAAUUUGCAUUCUUAGCAAUGCUUUAAGUUUACUGACCCUUUUUAGAGAUUAUUAACCCUAAUUAGAAUAAUUUAUCAACUUUCCUCCAAUUAAGUAACUUUUUAAUUUGGGUCAUCAACCUAGGAGUUGCUUACUAAAUAUAUUAAUUCUUCUUUCAUUAUUAUCAAUUUUUUUUUGGUAACUACGUGCCAAAUUUAUUGACUUCGAUAACGUCAGCAAACACAAUAGGGCAAAAAAAAAAAAAAAUUAGGUGGAUUUUUAUCUUAUUACGAGGGCGGUAGAACAUUCCAUUUUGUCUUCGCCAUAUGUUUAGGCAGGGCUCAUUUGUUAGUCUCUUAGUCUCUUUCUCCUACAACUUGCACCACCCACAACAGACCCCACGACUUCUUUGUUUGCAUUCUAGUCAUAGUUGCUUAUCUUAGUCAUUUUAAACAGCUCGGCAAGCACUAGCCAUUAUAUAGGUGUGUGUAGAGGGUCUCUCAGUUAAGCCAUCUAGUGUGCGUGUCAUAAAGAGCCGGUAUAAAGAGAGACAAGCUUACCCCACUGCAUAUCGUUGACGCCUUUGACUUCCUAGACCAUCUCUCUCUCAUUCUCGAGCUCUGCGAUUGCUACACCCUCUUCGGCUCAUCACCAAUCACACUCUCUCAGAGCCUGAGGCUUGCCAUGUCGUCAAACGGGUGCAUUACCAUCGUCCAUUGUGAUGUGAAGCCCGAAAACAUCUUGAUCAACUGAUGGAACAACCCAGGUAACAAUUCAUCACAAACUAAACCCAAUCCAAGAUCAAUUUCUCCACCCGAAACUAAACCGAGCAAAAUCAACUUAGCUCCGUCAAUAUCCAGCCAUAUAUAACCUUGAAAUAAGCAAAUAUAAUACAGAAAUGAUAAGUAGACAAAGUCAACAACAAUACCAAGGUUUUAACGUGAAAACCCAAUGUGGGAAAAAUCACGGACCGUCCAAAAACUUUCACUAAUCACUAAGAAUAAUAGGAUACAUAAAGCAUUUUUCUCUAGUCACACACUAGAAGCUCCAUAUAAGUAUUAUAAGUUCAUUUCCUCACCACAAAAGUGGAUAAACAUAAAUGGGGCAAUCAUAACUGUAAUUGGAGAAUUCAGAGGUGAAUCUUGAUGAACGAAAAUCAUUAAUCCGUAACUCUCAAUCUCAUGAAUGACAUAUUCUAAUUUGAGCCAAUUCCAUCAAUAUGAAGCUCCGAAGAUCUGCCUCUUUUUCUUUUCUUCUUCUCCACGCUCUCGGGUAACUCUCUCGGGUGGGGACACUCUCUCCUCCUCUCUCUCCUCUAGUCUUGCCCGAGGCAAUCACUUAAUUUUCUUUUUGUUGUUUUCUUUCCUUUUGACUUUUCUUCCUAUUUCACUUUUGUUUUUCUUUUGUUUUGUUUUAUUUAGCUGGGCCCACAAGAGGUGGACCCAGCCAAUACUUAUUGACGAGGGCAAAGACAGUGGUGGAGGGCAAGAUGGGGAUCCAGUUCUACGCUCCGCUGGAAAUGCUACUUGGGAGGGAAUCACCAUCCAACAAAUAAAGAAAUCAAACAUGCCUAUCAAAAUCUCCCUUCAAAUUCCUAAAACAUUUGAGACCACAAAAAUAUUAGAUUUUUCUGACCAAUUCAAAACCAGAACAAGCAAAAUCCUAAUAGGAAGAAACCUCUUUUAACUCCAUAAGAAAAAAAUAAAAAUCCAAUUCACACUUGAGCAACGCCAAUGCUACGUCAUUGGGUUGGUGGUGGGGGUUUCGUGGGCAACGUGAUGGGAUGAAUAAAAGAAAUGCAAGGUGCAAAAGGACGAGAGACUAAUCAGUGGAGCUCACAUGGCAAGUGCUGAAUUUAGUAUUUUACUACCUAUAUGUGAAUAAAAGAAAUGCAAGGUGCAAAAAGGACGAGAGACUAAUCAAUGGAGCUCACAUGCCAAGUGCUAAAUUGAGUAUUUUACUACCUAUAUGGCAAGACAAACCUAUUUGAUAUUUUCUCAAAUAGCAACGGCUUUAGCUCAAAAUAUAAUAUCAUCCCUCAAUUUUUUUUGUGUUCAAUGUGAUUCAUGAACUUUUAGUAUAUAUUUAAUCUAGUUCCCGAAUUAUAUGAAAAUAUCUAAUAUCGUCCGUGAAGUUGAGUUAAAAAGAGAACAAUAAAUUAAAAGUUCAAUGACUAUGAUACAUAUUAAGCUAAAGAUAAUAUUAAAUAAAUUAGAACUUUAGGAAUUAUAUUACACAUUAAAUUAAAAUAAUAUUCUCCUGAGGCGGGACUUCGUGGCCAAUCACGUUCCGAUGACGUCAGCAAUGUUGUUCUUGACGCGGACAAGAUACUUGAUCAGCAAGGUGUCGUUCUUAUCCUUGAUCAUUAUUUUGCACCACUGCCAGUACGGACAGUUGAAUAUGCCACGGCCGCUAAACGCGCUGAGCUACAAGCGGCUUUUUAAAAUCGGUGAAUCUCACUAUAUUAGUUCUCUGAGUUUCGGGCGGCAGUUUUCUAUACGGAAUUAUAAGGGUGUGCUAAGCAAUGCUUCCUACUCCCGGGAACGGGAAGGCAAUGAAUAUUCGAGUACUGCAAAAGCAGUUGAAGUAAAUAAUUUAUAGUAACAACCCAUGCUUAUUGUUCAACUUUGGCCGGCGAAAGUCAACUUUUUAAUUGUCACGGAGAGCAAAAAUUGAUCAUAAUAUGAAAAACAAAAGUAAAUGGAGCAAUAUUCGAGCUCUACACCACAUUAAUGAGCAUAUUAUUAUAUUUUAUUUCUUUUAACUCUUUUGAUUAGUUUGUCAAUCUUAUUUGUAACUCCUUAACUUAUCACUUUUUCGUUUAGAUUUUUUGUUUUGUUUGCAUAUACGUGACUAAAAUAGCAUCAGAGCAGCAAGGUGUCGUUCUUAUCCUUGACCAUUAUUUUGCACCACUGCCAGUACGGACAAUUGAAUAUGCCACGGCCGCUAAACGCGCUGAGCUACAAGCGGCUUUUUAAAAUCGGUGAAUCUCACUAUAUUAGUUCUCUGAGUUUCGGGCGGCAGUUUUCUAUACGGAAUUAUAAGGGUGUGCUAAGCAAUGCUUCCUACUCCCGGGAAUGGGAAGGCAAUGAAUAUUCGAGUACUGCAAAAGCAGUUGAAGUAAAUAAUUUAUAGUAACAACCCAUGCUUAUUAUUCAACUUUGGCCGGCGAAAGUCAACUUUUUAAUUGUCACGGAGAACAAAAACUGAUCAUAAUAUGAAAAACAAAAGUAAAUGGAGCAAUAUUCGAGCUCUACACCACAUUAAUGAGCAUAUUACUAUAUUUUGUUUCUUUUUAACUCUUUUGAUUAAUUCGUCAUCUUAUUUGUAACUUUUUAACUUAUCACUUUUCCGUUUAGAUUUUUUGUUUUGUUUGCAUAUACGUGACUAAAAUAGCAUCAUAAGUAAAUGUACUUUAAAUGAAUUCAUAGAAAAUAUAAACAUCAUAAAAUAUCAUUUAAUAUUCAUACAUACAUUAUUUCUCUUAUAUUUGGUAGAAAAAAGGGUGGGCGGUGCUAGGGUAUAAACCUAGCAAUUUAAGAUUGCAAGAUACUUCCUCGUUACCUAAGGAUUGUUGCCAUAAGAAUUUAAUUUUUUCGGAACUUUUGAUGAUUUAUGAAAAAAUGAAAUUAAAAAAGAAGCCGUGAAGGAUGAAGUAAUUGAACCCCGCCCGCCAUACUGUUUGCCUAUGUAAACAAAUGUUUCGACGUUCAUAUGUAGGCAUUAGCAAAAUAGAAGUUGUAAGGUACGACAAAGGAAAACAUGGGGGAGACCAUAGUCCUCUAUCCGUCGCAUUUGAGGGGUCACAUCGUCUCCAUGCUCGAGCUUGGACGGCUCAUUCUCAAACGCCACCCUCGCUUCUCCGUCAUCGUCAUCCUCUCCUCCGCUUCCGCCGCCGCCGCCGCCCCCACCCUGGUUGCCAACUCCUCUUCCAUCACUGUCCUCCACCUUCCACCAUCCACUGCCGCCGCAGCUGAGGACAAGCAAACGCACUUCGAUUUGGCCCGCCACGACGCCUCCAACCUCCGCCUCGCCCUCGCUGCCAUCGCCGCUGCUGCGGACCUCCGAGCCCUUAUCAUCGAUGUCUUCUCAGAUGCCGCCUUCCCUGUGGCGGCCGCACUUGGCGUCCCAACCUACUACUACUUCACCUCAGGUGCCGCUGCCCUCGCCGCCUUCCUCCACCUUCCAACCCUCCACGGGAGCACCACCAAGAGCUUCAAGGACCUUGGAGACGAGACCGUGAACAUUCCUGGGUUGCCUCCAAUCAAGGCCUCGGACAUGCCGUGGGACGUGCUUGACCGAAGCUGGAGAAUGUACGACUACUUCUUGGAUGCUUGCAGGAACAUGAGCUCGUCGUCCGGCAUCAUUGUUAACACGUGCGAGUCGCUUGAGAGUCGGAUCAUCAGAGUCAUCAAAGAAGGAUUGUGCGUGCCAGACCGGCCGACUGCGCCUAUUUUUGCCGUUGGGCCUUUGGUUGAGUCAAAGGUUGACGGCGACGAGGGCGGUGGCGACAAGAGAGAAAGAAGGCACGAGUGCUUGAGUUGGCUCGACUCGCAACCGAGCCGAAGCGUCGUGUUCUUGUGUUUUGGCAGCGAGGGAAGGUUCUCCGCUGCGCAGCUGAAGGAGAUGGCCUCCGGUAAGCUUUCGUUUCGUGCAAAAAUUACUUCACCUGCCGCAACUUAAUUCAAAUUCAAUUGUCCUGUUAAUUAGGUUUGGAGAGAAGCGGGGUGAGAUUCUUGUGGGUGGUGCGGCCUCCGCCGCAGGAUGCGUCCGCAAAAUCAACAUCGGGGUCAAACGAUGGCGACGACACGAGCAUAGAGAAGUUCAUGCCGGAGGGAUUUCUGGAGAGGACAAGAGAGAGGGGGAUGGUGGUGAAGUCGUGGGCACCGCAGAUACAGGUGCUGAGCCACGGCUCGGUGGGCGGGUUCGUCACUCACUGCGGCUGGAACUCGACUAUCGAAGCAGUGCACGCCGGCGUGCCAUUGGUGGCCUGGCCUCUCUACGCGGAGCAGAAGGUGAACAGGGCGUUUCUCGUGGAGGACACCGCCCUGGCGCUCCCACUGAGCAUGUCGAACGAGGACGGGUUCGUGAGUGCGGACGAGUUAGCCAAGCGGGUCGCCGAGCUGAUGGUGGGCUCGGGAGAAGGAAAAGUUGUCAGAGAGCGGGUCUUGGCCGCAAGAGACGGCGUGGUGGAGGCCUUGAGCGACGGCGGAUCCUCUCAGAUUUCAUUGGCCGCGGUGGCGGCACUAUGGAAACGAGGCUGAGACCCUAGUGCACUCACUGUCCAUUGAUUGGCUGACCUCAACAGGGUGGUGUCACAAUGACCAAAUUAGAGUACUAUGUCGAACUGUUUCCCAUGAAGUACACCAAAAAUAAACAAAAAACAUGGAGCGGGUGUCUUAGUUUGUUAGCUAGAUUUUCGAUAAACCAGUUUUUCCAUUUGGAAGUUCUAAUGCUCACAUUCUGAAGGAGACGCUUGUUUUCAAGAUAAACCGAGACCAAUCUCGAGUUCAAAGAAAAAGGGACGUCUUUGAACAUGUUCAACAAAUGCAUAUCAGACUGAUUCUGUACAGUGGAUUGCUGCGUCUGAAACAGCAAGCAUAGUGUUGGGGAUGACUGAUCCCCGAAAUACCGGAUUCGACACUAAAUCGAACCCCUAAAUCAAUGCGGAAGACGAAGCCCGGGAAAACACGUAUCACCGAUCGUAAAGCACACCACGGAUUCAAGCGUACCUUGUUAGCCACAGAUUAAGCACCGACGCCGAUUGAGGAAGAAAAUCCGGUCGAAUUCGAUCCGAUGAAGCCUUGAAGGGAAGGAAAGCGCGCCGUAUGCUUACUGUUCUUCCUUUUUGGGAGAGAGAGCGUGAGGAGAGAAAAGACGUACGUUGAAUUGCAAAACGUUGUCUUCUCUCUCUCUCUCCUCCCUUUUAUACCUUCCCCCUCCACGGGCCCUAUUUCCGUGGGCCGGGCCUUUUGGGCCCAGCAUGGGCGGACGGGCCUUAAGCCCAAAUUAAAUAAAGCCUUCAUCUCCCACUCGCACAUGGUGGGCCGAACAAUAUUCUUUUUACCUCUCUUCAACAUUCAUACCAGUGAAUAAUCCGUGCGACCAGCAUACUUUGAGAGCUCGUUGCUAUACAUCUGUUAGGAAUAUAUAGCAGCUCAUUAAUGGGCGUCACACUCCGAAUAGAUUUAGUAUGUAGUACCCUAGAUCGAUCGAUCACAUUUAUAUCUCUCUUGAUCUCUUUUAAACAAUGAUAUAUAUAUUGUAUUCACAAUUAUAAUUAUCACAAAGACAAUCAUAAUUGGUCGACCAGUGAAUACAAAAACUACAAUGUGAUUCUCCAAAAUCGAUCUUCCUCUUUCCUUCAAACUCUCAAUUUCAGUCCAGCUUGCUUUUCUAGAAAUGCCCCAUUAGAUCGAAUUAUCUCAUGACCAUUGGCAACACCCUAAGAUAGCAAACACUAAAUAGAAAUCUUGAGAAUAAGUAAGAGUCCUGAGGGGGCUAAAAAUUGAGGAACUCUUUUCCUCAAGAGUCUCACACGACAUAAAAAAGUUGAGAUCAAACUUUUGCCACUCUUAUUGGUCGUCUCAUGUAUACGUAGUAUGAAAUACGUAUUAUGGUAUCAACUCCUUUCCCAUGGAGCGUAUGUCUACACCUUUCAAUACCGUACAUAUGAUAGUUCAGACAUACCCAAUGUCUAACUUGAGUUCACGUAUCUACUCAUUCACUAAAUUCAUCAUAACUCACAUCUGGCAUCAUAGACAGAUAAAGUAAAAUAUGUGAGGUAUUUUACUUUCGGACAUCGUAAGUAUUAUGUCAUCAUCUUAACACUUAGUUAAGGCGACAUACGUAUUUUAAGCUUGAGCUCUCGAUUAUCACCUAGAUAAUAAGCUUAAAAUCAGUCUCAUCUCUAUUUAUCACACAGUAAACAGAGGCGAUUACCCGUGUGAGUGGGCUAAUCUUUUAUCUGUCCGACAUACUUCUCAACUUAAAAUAAUGCACUAAGCAUUAAGAUGCAUAAAGAUCAUACAAAGAUUCAUAGGCAUUAAUCAAUGAAAAACAAAAUUUCAUAAAUGUGAACAACUCGGGGAAAAUACAAUCCAGUACAUCAGACUCUACGCAAUCCUAGAGAUUUUACAUGACCACAAAACCACAUCUCUAGUAUGCUUUGUUCAUAGGAUCUGCUACAUUCUAUGCGUAGAUAUGUACUGUAAGUUCACAUCCUUUCGUGCAACCAUAUCUUUUACAAAGUUAUACUUGGUAUCUAUAUGUUUGGUCUUGCCAUGAUACUUUGGAUCUUUGGUGUACGCUAUAGCUGCUUGGCUAUCACAGUUAACCAAUAAUUGAUUUGCAGCUUUCUCAAUAACACCUAAAUGAUCCAAGAAUCUCUUAAGCCAAACUGCUUCUUGUACUGCUGCUGAUAAUGCCACGAACUCAGCUUUCAUUGUGGAUAAGGCUAUGCAUGUUUGCUUCUUACUACUCCAUGAUAUGGCGCCAUUGCUCAGUAAGAAAGCAAAUCCUGAGGUAGAUUUUCUUUCAUCUAAAUCUCCUCCCCAAUCAGCAUCUGAAUAGCCUUUAAGUCGCAGAUCCUUUCCUUGGUAAUUCAACUUGUAAUCAGCAGUUCCCUUCAGAUACCUCAGUAUUCUCUUAACGGCUUUCCAAUGUGCUGGACCUGGAUUGGAUUGGUAUCUACUCACCAUUCCAACUGCAAAACAUAUGUCGGGUCUUGUACACAUCAUAGCGUACAUCAAGCUCCCAACAGCACUUGCAUAAGGAACAUGUUUCAUUUGUUCCUUCUCUUGUGGAGUCCUUGGACACAGUCUAUGGCUCAAUCCUUCACCUUUUGCAAUAGGAGUGUCUAUGGGUUUACAAUCUUGCAUACGAAACCGUUCUAGAACUUUGUUUAUAUAAGUUUCUUGCGAAAGAGACAACGAUCUCUUCGAACGAUCUCUUGAAAUCUUAACUCCAAGAAUGUAUGCAGCCUCACCCAUAUCCUUCAUCUCAAAGUUGGAAGACAACCAACUCUUGACGGUCUUAACAAACUCCAUAUUGCUUCCGGCAAUUAGUAUACAUCAACAUAUAAUGAUAUGAUCACAAAUUGAUCCUUGGAUCUUUUGAUAUAUACACAAUGAUCCUCAUCAAUCAUCGUAAAAUCAUAUGCCAUUAUGGCAUUAUGAAAACGUAUAUACCAUUGUUUUGAUGACUGCUUAAGACCAUAUAUCGACCUCAAAAGUCGACAUACUUUUUCUUCUUGGCCUUUCACUAUGAAACCAACAGGUUGUUCCAUAUAUAUCUCUUCCUCUAAUUCUCCAUUGAGGAAAGCAGUCUUUACAUCCAUUUGAUGUAACUCAAGAUCCAGACUAGCCACUAUUGCUAGAAUAAUGCGAAUCGAGGUAAAUCUCACUACAGGAGAAAACGUAUAUUCAUAAUCAAUUCCUUCAUGUUGAUUAUACCCAUUCGCCACAAGGCGAGCCUUAUGCCUUUCAAUCGAGCCAUCAGCCUUUCGCUUUAUUUUGAGAACUCAUUUGUUCCCAAUAGCUUUACGUCCUUUUGGCAGAUCAACUAGUUCCCAGACUUGGUUUGAUUUCAUUGACUCCAUUUCCUCUUCCAUUGCAUGAAUCCACUUUUCCUUACUAGGGCAAUUCACAGCCUCAUUGAUAUUUCUUGGCUCAUCCUCAUCUUGUGGAGCAACCAUAAAAGUUUCCCCUUCAAUGUCAAAACGUCGACGGGGAAUACUUUGGCGACUUGUUCGCCGUAUGGGAGAUUGUACACUUUGCACAUCAUCCCCCAUCAUGCUCCCACUUGGAUUAGGUAAUGAUGAUGUCGUCUCAUCAUGUGGUUGCAAUUGAGAAUUAGUUGAAUUCAAUUCAUCACUUCUCAUAUUACUCCCACUUGGACGAAGUCCACUAAGGUCAUUAUCUUGAUCCAAGGUUUCAAAUAGGGAACAAUCUUCCCUUAUUUCGCCCUUCUUAGGAAACUCAUCCUCUAAGAAUGUGACAUCUCGUGAUUCAAAUUCAGUUAUACUCCCACUUUCCUGCUCACCAAUGAACACAUACCCUUUCGAGUGUUCCGAGUAUCUUAUGAAAAUACUCUUCUUUCCUCUGGGACCCAAUUUCCCAAACUUGUGAGAGGACUCAUGUGUAUAGGCAGCACAACCCCAUGGCUUAAGAAAACUCAAGUCCGGUUUUCUACCGGUCCAUAACUCAUAUGGAGUGGAAGUAACUGAUUUAGAAGGCACCCGGUUAAGUAUAUACGCAGCAGUUAACAAUGCAUCACUCCAAAAGGUGAUAGGCAAGUUAGCAUGCGCCAUCAUGAACCUAACCACUUCCAGUAGGGUUCUGUUUCUUCUCUCCGCAACACCAUUUUGUUGAGGAGUAUAUGGAAUAGACAACUGUCUUUCUAUUCCUUUUUCAUCACAUAAUUUUCUGAACUCAUCAGAUAAAUAUUCUCGACCUCGAUCGGAUCUCAAUGCUUUUAUUUUCUUGUCUAAUUGAUUCUCUACCAUGUUCAUAAACCUUUUAAAACAACUUAUUGCUUCAGAUUUGUGAUAAAUCAAAUAGACAUAUCCGAAUCGAGUAUAAUCAUCAAUAAAAGUGAUGAAAUAAACAGCCCCAUGCCUUCCUUUCACAUUCAUUGGACCACAGACAUUAGAAUGGAUUAAAUGCAGAGGAAAUUCAGCUCUUUUUCCUUUUCCAAAUGGUUUUCUUGUCGUUUUCCCUUCUAGGCAAUGCUUACAUAUGGACAAAUCGACUUUUUCAAUAUUGCCCAACAAGCCCUCUUUGGCUAGUCUAUUCAUACGCUGUUGGCCAAUGUGACCAAGUCUAGCAUGCCACACAUUCACAUCAUUAUCAUAUUUAUUAGGAGACGUGAAAAGGGAAUAACAAACAUUAGUAUUAACAUAAUCAAUAUCUAAUACAAUAAAACCAUCCAGAAAAUAACCACAACCAUAGUAAUUUGUAUCCAAAAACAAAUUCACAUCUCUAUUACAGAAGUUCAUAUUAAAACCUAAUUUAACCAACACUAAUACAGACACUAAAUUCCGACGAAUCUCCGGAGCAUACAGCACAUCAUGAAGGAACAAAGUGCGUCCACCACGCAUAUUCAGUUGGCAUGUGCCAAUUCCUUUCACUUCAGCUCUGGAGUUGUUUCCCACAUAGAUCCACUUAGUUCCAGUUGGUACUCGUCGGAAUUCCACGAAGGAUCCUCUAUCCUUCACUACAUGGUCCGUCGCUCCUGAAUCCACAGUCCACAAAGGAUUAGACUCAGUUAAGAAUACAGAACUCGACACAAAAGUGAAGUUCUGAAAAGUACAAGGGGUGCAUACCUUCUUUGGCUCACGACAGUCGCGAGCAUAGUGACCCUUCUUGUCACAGUUGUAGCAUUUCACCCUUGCAAGCUUUUUCAUGCGGGGACGCUUCCCUCUUUCAUGUUGGUUAAACUUGGGUUUCUUCCCUGAAGGACCUGCUUCUUCCUUGCCUUUUCCCUUAUCAAACCAGUUAGGGCGCUUGCGCUUGGAGCUCGAAGCUCCAUUUGAGCUAGAACUAGCAUGAUAAAGUUCAGCAUCCGGCUUAGCCGCCAACAAGCGGUCCUCUUCCAGCUCAAGAUGACGCAUUGCAUCCUCAAAGGUUUUGAUAUUUUCAUUAUGAGUCAGGUGCACCUUCAUAUGCUCCCAACUCUGAGGCAAGGAACGAAUCACUGCUUGCACUUGCUGCUCAUCUAUGAGGACAUGGCCAGCAUCUCUCAGCUCAGUUAUCAUGUUUGACAUCUUUCUAAGAUGUUGCUUCAUGGUCUGACCAUGAGGCUUCUUAUAAGAGUCAAACCUGAUAGUGAGCUGCCUCAGUCUAGUCACCGAAGUAUGACCAAAUCUAGCUGCCAAUGCCUCCCACAUUUCCUUAGCAUUGUCAAAACGCCAAAACUCUCGCAUGACGUCAUUUUCCAUGCUGCUCAGCAACGUGAUGCGAGCUAGAGAGUUCAUUCUUUUCUAUGCAGAAAAAGCUUCUUUGUCUCCUUUGUGCUGUGCAGUGGUUCCCUCUUCAGGUUCUACCACGGUCAUGACAAGAGCCUCAAGUGCUUCUUGCUCUUCCAGCACAUACUGGAUUUUCAUUUGCCAAAUUUCAUAGUUGUCUCCAUUGAGCUUUUCACCUUUGUUUAGCUCGGCAACUAUGCUCUUUGUGGCUGAUGCCAUUGAUCUGAACGAAUCAGACAAAUAUGCACGAAUUAUUAAUGCCUAUCAUUUAUGCAUCCCUAUUUACAUAGACCCAUCAUAUUAAUGAAUAAUUUCAAGUAAGGUUUCAGAAUCAAAAGGUCACUAUAUUUCCAAUCAUCCUCCAAAAUCCUAACUUAAAACUAUCAUCAAUAUAAUUGUCUUAUGCAAAAUCAAUUCUAUGAAGCUACAAAAACUUCUAAAACUACCCACAGCUAAUUACCCACAGCAACCAGCAAUAACAGAAAGCAAUAUAUAAUAGAACAUCCAAUAAAAACAAUAAUGCUUUCAAUUAACACAAUUAAGUAGUAAUCAUUACAUAAUAUGUCCACAAAUCACACUUAACAUAUAUCAGCCAAUACAACUAACACCAAGUCAGCACACGAACUGGGAAAUAUCCUCUUUUGUUCAAUUUCUUGAUCUUUUCCCUUGAAACAAUACAAUAAUAUUCAUUUACAAAAUCUAUCACAAUUUUCUUAUAGGAAGCAGCUCCGUUGACAUCCCAUAUGCGAUUCAACACAUCUUGCCAUUCAGGUGGAAGAGUGUUUAUGAAAAAUCGCACCAUCUCUGACUGUGACAUAGGAUGACCAUUCCAUAUGACCUGUUGAAUUUUCCCGUUGACUUCAAGGACAUGAUCAAUUAAGUCACCUCUCUCCCAUCGAUGAUCAGUCAGCUCAGCUAUCAACUUAGACAGCCUAUCCUUUUGUUCAUCGAUAACUGCGCGAAUAUGUGUGCGCAACCUCAGGGGAAGCAUUGUUCCUGCAACAAAUGCAGAACGAACAAAUAAGGGAUCACAUUAUAAUCCACAUAGACUUAAUUGAAAAAGAAACACAUUCUUUUCCUUUUUUUUUUCGGGACAACGGUCAACGGUCAAUGGUCGUCACGGUCAACGGAGGUUAACGGUCGUCGGUCGUCGGACCGGACAUACCGGUCGGACCAGUUGGGCCGGUGGGCCCGGUUCGCGCGAACCGACGGCACGUGCCGUGCGCGUGCGCGGGCUGACGUCACGCAGAUGUCAGCCGGCACGUGCCGCGCCCGUGCCGGGUCUCGCGCGGGUCGGGUCGGGUCGGGUCGCCGGUUGGGUCGCCGGCCGGUGACCGCCCGGCUAAUUGUCGCCGUGCUGACGUCAUCGAUGAUGUCACCCUAGCAGUUAUUGACCGUUGGGUGACGUCAUGCUGACGCCAGCACGCGUCGGUCCGCGGACCGGUGCGUGCUGGCUCGCCGGCCGACGGUGCGCACGCACUGGGCGACGCAACUCUUCCGAGCGCGUCGCGCCCACGCGCAGCGGCUUCUGGCCGCGCGUGUGGGCGCGUGCGGUGUCGCCCGACGGCGCACGACGUACCUCCAGACUCGUCUCGACGUCGCAUUUCUCCCAAUCUUUUCAGAAAACAGUUUCGACAUACGAAAACUCAGUAAAAAGGCGGAAGAACGCUCGGGUGUCGGGAUUUUUGUCCCGAUCCGUACGGCCGAAAGUUUCUUCGCGAAAACUCAAUCAAAGAACAUGAAAUUGAUCGGGAAAAACAUGAAAGCGGGCUCUGAUACCAAUGUUGGGGAUGACUGAUCCCCGAAAUACCGGAUUCGACAUUAAAUCGAACCCCUAAAUCAAUGCGGAAGACGAAGCCUGGGAAAACACGUAUCACCGAUCGUAAAGCACACCACGGAUUCGAGCGUACCUUGUUAGCCACAGAUUAAGCACCGACGCCGAUUGAGGAAGAAAAUCUGGUCGAAUUCGAUCCGAUGAAGCCUUGAAGGGAAGGAAAGCGCGCCGUAUGCUUACUGUUCUUCCUUUUUGGGAGAGAGAGCGUGAGGAGAGAAAAGACAUACGUUGAAUUGCAAAACGUUGUCUUCUCUCUCUCUCUCCUCCCUUUUAUACCUUCCCCCUCCACGGGCCCUAUUUCCGUGGGCCGGGCCUUUUGGGCCCAGCAUGGGCGGACGGGCCUUAAGCCCAAAUUAAAUAAAGCCUUCACAUAGAGAACUAGUGCUAGAGAUAAGGAAGAAAAGCGAGUAAGAAAGCAGAACAUCGAAUUAGGAAGAGACCAAUCAUCAAGCAUAUGCAUAGCAAGCAACUAGAGAUCUCAAUCAUCUUAAAGUCCAAGGCGACACUGACACACUUGUCGCCGGAAAAUGAUUAGAGAAGCUAAUUGCCUCACCUACGCAGGGUGCACCAGUCCAUACACAAGCCAAUGAUCUCCAGGAGCCUCACCGGUUACAUGGAAAUUGUUCAAGGCGAGGUGGGUAGGUUCCCCCGCACAAGCAAAGCUUAUCCCAGUAAAAGUGCCCUUAUCACAGCAACACAAAGAUCGCUCUCGAAGAUGCACAAGUGUCCGCCGUUGGGCACCUCGUGGUAACGAAUCCAUGGAAGUUUCUGUGCAAUGUACUGGUUAAUCUCACAUGGAAUUAUGCGGUCUUCCAUCCCUUGCCAAAGGUGGACUGAGCCCUGAUUGUCGGGAAAAGGGUUUUCCAGUUCCAGGGGAUCAAAUUGUUAAAGCUCAUAAAACAACAAUCAAAACAGAAAACAUCUCUAUUGUUUGAGGGAGAGAAAGGAUAAAAAAAAAAAAAAACAGAGCAUAGCACUUCAUACGUCUUGUGCAAAAGAAAAAAUUGUCAAGUAGCACAACUAAAUACAAAGCAGAAAUAAAUACAAAGCAGAAAUUGCUCACAUACGUGCAACACAUAACUGCACACAAACGUACUAUUAACUUCCUAGAAAAUAGCAAGCAGAAAUAAAUACAAAGCAGAAAUUGCUCACAUACGUGCAACACAUAACUGCACACAAACGUACUAUUAACUUCCUAGAAAAUAGCAAAAACACUAACUGCAUAACUAAAUGAACUUGGCUAUUUUUAAAAAACAAAGGAAAACAAAGGAAACACGACCGAAAACAGCAGCACUACGACAAUUCCAACAAACUCCUCAUUGGAUCAGUUGCUGCUGCAGAUUCCUAUUUUCUCUCUUAAUAGCUCAAAUCUUCUAGCCUGAAGUGGUUUUGUAAACAUAUCUGCAAGCUGAUCUUCAGAUCUACAAUAGACCAACUUAACUUCGCCACUUUGUUGUACCUCACGCAGAAAGAAAAAUUUGACUUCAAAAAGUUUGGUUUUGCCAUGGAAAACUGGAUUUUGUGAUAUUGCUAGAGUAGCCUUAUUGUCAAUAUUAACUUCAAUGCAAUCACUAGAAUUCAGCCACAAACCUUCAUUAUCUUCUUCAGCCACAAAGCUUGAUUUGCAGCUGCAGUAGCUGCUAUAAACUCAGCCACUGCAGUAGAUUGAGCUACAAUCUCUUGCUUUUUAGAACACCAGGAGAAACAAGCAAAACUAAUACUAAAACAAUAUCCAGACGUACUCUUCAUGUCAUCUACUGAACCAGCCUAGUCACUAUAAGAAAAUCAUUGGAAAUUAAACUUCUGACCUUUCUUAAACUUCACACCAAAGAACAAUGUUCCUUUGAGAUAUCUCAAGACCCUUUUUGCUGCAACCAAAUGUAACUGAUUAGGACUACUCAUAAACCUGGAUAAAACACUCACAACAAAUAGAAUAUCUGGUCUGGUUGCUGUAAGAUAUAUGAGACACCCAAUCAAACUUCUAUACAUAGAAACAUCUACUGCAUCUGUUCUAUCAUUCUUCUGCAGCUUCUCUUUAGCAACCAUAGGAGUGCUUACACUUCGACAAUCUUCUAUCUAAAACUUCUUUAGAAUUUCAUUCACAUAUUUUUUCUGACAGAUGAAGAUUUCAUUUCAUAUGAAGCUUGUUUGACUUCUAGACCAAAAAAAUAAGCCAUCUUUCCCAAGUUUGACAUCUCAAAACCUGCAAAUAGAUCUUGCUUCAUCUUCUUUAUCAAUUCCAUAUCAUUCCCUGCCACUAAUAGAUCAUCUACAUAAAGUGACAAAAUUACAACACUAUGAUUCACCUUCUUGACAUAAAGAGUGAACUCACUUAAGCUUAUUACAAAGCCAAAAUCCUGCAAAUAUCGAUAUAUCUUCCCAUACCAAGCUCUUGGAGCCUGCUUCAAUCCAUAUAGAGCUUUCCUCAACCUGUAUACACUCUCAACUUGCCCUUUGGUACUGAAGCCUUCAGGUUGUUCAACAAAAAUCUUCUCCUCAAGCUCUCUAUUCAGGAAUGCAGACUUGACAUCUAACUGAAAUAUAGGCCACCCCUGCUCUACUGCAAUAGCUAACAGUAACCUUAUUGUAUCAAGUCGUGCAACAUGAGUAAAUGUUUCAGAAUAGUCUACUCCUCAUAUUUGUGCAUAGCCUUUCACAAUCAGUCUAGCUUUGUGUUUAUUGACAGAACCAUCAAGAUUAAGUUUUGUUCUAAACACCCAUUUAACCUCAAUCACAUUCUUAUCAGAUGGUCUAUCAACAAGCUCCCAUGUGUGGUUUUUCUGGAUCAUUGCAAUCUCCUCCUACAUUGCUGCAAUCCACCUCUGGUCCUCCUUAACUUCCACAAAGUUAGAUGGUUCGAGCACUGCCACAUUGCUUCUUUCAUAAAUUUCAGCAAGUGACCUUGUGCCUCUCACUGGUAAAUCAUCCAUACUGUCUUCCAAUUCAUCUAUAACUUCAUCAACCUUUACAUCUGUUGCAGGUUGUUUUUCAAACUGCUGUUGUUCUGCACUCUUUCCUUCCAUCCAAUUCCACUCAUCUUCCUCUAGAAAAAUAACAUCUCUGCUCACAAUCACCUUCCCUGUCAUAGGGUGAAAAAUCCUAUAAGCUUUUGAUUGGAGACUGUACCCAAUGAAGAUUCCAAGCUCAGCUCUUUUAUCCAAUUUGUCCCUCUUGACCUGAGGAACAUGAGUAUAACACAAACACCCAAAAACCUUCAAAUUCUUCACAGAAGGUUUAACACCAUGCCAGACUUCAAAAGGUGUUGACUUUUCUAAGGCCUUUGUGGGCAAUCUAUUCAAUAGAAACACUGCAGUAUUAGUUGCCUCAGCCUAAAACUUCUUAGGUAACUUCUUCUCCUACAUCAUACAUCUAGCCAUCUCCAUAAUGCUUCUGUUUUUCCUCUCACUGACCCCAUUCUGUUGAGGUGAAUAGGGAGCAGUGAACUACUGCACAAUUUCUGUUUGCUCACAAUUCAACUUAAACUUGUGAGCAGUAUACUCAGAACCAUUAUCAGAUCUAAGCAUUUUAAUUUUCUUCCCGCUCUGAUUCUCAACUAAGGCUUUGAACUUCACAAACACAUCAGCAAUUUCAGACUUGGCUCGCAGAAAAUAAAUCCAACUCAUCCUAGUCAUAUUAUCAAUGAAAGUAAUGAAAUACCUGCUACCAUUGAGAGAAGACUCUGACAUAGGUCCACAUAAAUUUGUGUGGCCUAAUUGCAGCUUCUCACAUGCUCUCCAGCCUCCUCCUUUGAAAGGAAAUUUGACUUGCUUGCCAAGAAGACAAGUUCUGCAAUGUGGAAUUCCUCCUUGUCGCGACCAAUUUUUCAGGUGUGAACCACCUAGGGUUUGGCUAAUGGAUUGUUAAACCUAGACUUAACUCGGGCUCUCUCAAGCCCAUACCAAUUCGCGACUUAGGUUCAAGUUUAUAACAUGUAAAUGAUUUUUCAAUUAGGAGUCGCCACUAAUCUAUUUUUGGUGGGUCAAUUAGAAACCCAAGUAAAGUAACGGGAGAUUUACUUUACUCCUACGAACUAGAGAUUAUGAGUUUGGAGACUUGGUUAUGCUAGACUUUUCUAACGCUCUUUCGGUACAUUUCUCUUUUAUUUCAAAGAAAAUGUUUUGCAGGCAGCUUGAAUUGAUUUUAAAUCUAAUUCUUUAACAUGUGAGGCAAUCAUGCGGGUGCGCAAUCCAUCAAUUUAACACCCAAGAAAACAAAUAAAAAUGCAGGACUUACCUUGUAGCAACGAAAGCAUCUGCAAUGUUAAUUCAAAAUCAACAUCAACAAUCCUGGAUAUGGUUUCUAAUUAACACGCAAUUUCUUUUUUUUUUUCACUUAUUUAAUGAAAAUUAUGCAAUAUGCGAUGCAAUAUUAACUAAAUAACCUAACUCUAAUAACAUGUAAUUUCUAAUUGAAUGGACCUAGCAACAAUCACUAAAUGGCAUGCAUUUCAUGAAUCUAAUUCUAAAUGACAUGCAAUGACAUUUUUAUUUCUUAUAAAAAUUCGUAAUUAAAAAUUACUAAUAAUAAAAACCUAACUAAAGUGAGAUAUUAUUUAUUUUUAAGUUAGGAAAUAGACUAAUCUAAAUCCUAUCUUAACUUAGAAAUUUUUCUCGACAUGCAAUUUAAUUCCAAGAUAUUAUUUAACCUAGAUAUCAUCUAAACAUGCAUUCUAAUAUAAUUAAAAAGGUAUCUAACUAGUCUAUCAUGCAAUUCUAUAUAGGAAAUCAAAUAUAAUCUACAUGAUAUGCAAAUGCAAUCUUUUUGUAUUUUCGGGAUAAAUAAAGCAAUUAAAAGAUAAGCACAAAAUCAUUCAGAAUCAUCACAAAUAACGCACAUCGUCCAAAUUAGGAAACAAUAUCUAAAUCAGACUUGAUUAUUUCGCUAAUAAAAUCGAUAAAUUGAUCUUAAGCCUUAAAGAUCAAGAUAUCAAUUUUAUUCCCGCGUAAUUAAUUAUUACAUCUAAAGCCUUAUAGACGCAAUAAAAAAUCGGUAUGCGGUUGCGAAUUAGGAAAUAUAUCCUAAUUGAAAGUUAUGUCUAUCACUCAUGGAUAUGAAACUAGAUAUAAAUGGACAUAUGUUAGACAAUAAAAUAUCCAAAUAUACUAGAGAUGUGCAUCUUACCUAAUUUGAUGAUAUUCUUCCCAAAUUUGGACCAAGUGCAAUCGGACCGGGAUCGCAACAGGCUCCUCGAAGGGAUGACGAGUGGCGAGAGGCGGCUAAUGAUGGCUCGUGACUGGCACCACAGUCAGCGGGUAGUCAUGCAAUGCAGGGGUGAACACUUAGGAAAGGCUUCCCAUGUCUCUCUCCAAAAGACGAGGGGAUGACCUGCAAAAAUUACGAGGAAAGAAAGUCUUCGUUGAAAGCCUAGCAGCAAGACUUCACCAGCCAACGUGAAUGGUUUGCAAAGAAAACGAAAGUGAUCUUUGUAUUCCUUUUUAUUUGCUCUUUAUGUGCCCCUCUUUCUCUUCGUUGGUGGACUUCAGAAGAACGGUGAUUCACCGAUACUGCAACUUCUCUGUUUGGAAUGGUCAGGCUCGAGCUUGGACAGCAGCACGCCGUUAUUGCUGGGGAUUCCACGAAUGGCUUAACAGGCCGUAUGAGUGCGGCUCACGUCGGGUAAUGACAGCUCGGACGUGGAGGAACGUUACAACUGCAACAGGAUCGCCAUGGCUCGUGGGGGUGGAACUCAGCGUCAGGGCAACGCGGGCUGCGACUCCACAACAGUGAGCGGCAACAACAGGUCGACAACGAAGGGUUCAGCCGUAGUGCAGAGGGCAACGAUAUGGCAAUGGCACGGCGUCGACAAGGGUGGUGCGUCUUGGUGCACCUAGAAUAAAGAACGAUGAAGUGCAACAAGACUGGACGUUUGCGACUCCAGUAUCUUCGUAGAGUGGUGGCCAGCAAGCAAUUUGGACGAUCACAACAAAGUCAUGGGUUGAGGUAGGUCAAGCACCGAAGAAGAAGACCACCUCUCGUGCUUUCUCUCUCUCUCUCUCGUCUCUCACUCACAAUUUUUAUAUUGUGGCUGACCUAAAUUUUGUCGCCCCCCCCCCCCUUUUAUAUGCAUGCACAAAGUCCCCCACCAAGGAAAGAAAAUGUGUUAAAAUAUUAUAAAAUCUUCGCUUUUGUUUUUCUUUCCCCUCUCGGGUGCGCUCAAAAUCUGCGACUUUCAUGUUUUCGAACGAAGAAUAUAUCACGCCGUGUACGCUUCUUGCUGAUACAUUGCAUGAAUAUAUAAAACGUCGACUACCAUAUCAUCCUUUCUUUUUAUUCAUUUUCAUUGGUCAAAUUUUCCUUUUAUGCUCUUGAAUGAAUAUUGACACGAUAUUUCUUUUGGUCUUGUUCCGAUCGUGAAUUUUCCUCUAGAUAUUUGACGAAGAUAUCCAUUUCUUGUUUGAAAUAAAGAAAUGCCUUCUUAUCUAUCAAGCUUAAAACCGUUCGUUCGAGUCCAUCCACCAUCGUUGACCCAAUGUGAAUGCAAUAAAUAGAAAAAUGAAUGCACCUAAAAUUAUAUGUUAUGCAAUUAAUAUUUUUUCAGGGAUAAAAUUAACCCAUAAUUUUCUACGCAAUAAAUAAAUGACCAGAUCGCCAAAAUUUAGGUGUCAACCGUUGCCCCUCUUUGAAGGUGAGCUCGAAGAGAUUGCCUUCAAAGACAAAUUGAGACCUAAAUUUUGAUUAUGCACAUGCAAUGAAUGAUUUUUUUUUUUUAGGAAAAUGAAUUCCAUUUUUUUUUAAUGCAAUUUAUAUUAUGCAUGAAAAUGCUAAUGCAAAUGAUAAAUGAACCUACCUGGAAUAACUUACCUUCAAAGAGGAUAUAGUAGUUUGAGGUAGUUGGUGUUAUAUGUUCAAGACCCAUACCAUUCUACGGUCGCCUAGAAUAGUAACAUGACUUUAUGAAGAGACUGCUUUCCCAGGACCCGUACCAUUCUACAAUCGCCCAGUAUGGCAGUGUUUGGUUGUCUAGGACCCGUACCAUUCUACGGUCACCAUGACGGAAAAUUGAUUUUUUCAGGACCCGUAUCAUUCUACGGUCGCCUGAAUGGGGAUUCAUUCUCCAGGAUCCGUCCCAUUCUACGGUCGCCUAAAUAAGGAAUAGGUGUUGUCGAGGACUCGUACAAUUCUACGGUCGCCUUGACAGGAAAUUGAUUUUUCAGGACCCGUACCAUUCUAUGGUCGCCUAAAUGAGGAAAUCGCUUUUCCAAGAUCCAUAUCAUUCUACGGUCGCCUAUUAGAGCAAUAAAUGUUGUUUAGGACCCGUACCAUUCUACGGUCGCCUAAACGGGGAUUCACUUUCCAGGACCCGUACUAUUCUACGGUCGCCUGAAUAAGGAAUAGGUGUUGUCGAGGACUCGUACCAUUCUACGGUCGCCUUGACAGGAAAUUGAUUCUUCAGGACUCGUACCAUUCUACGAUCGCCUGAAUAAGGAAAUUACUUUUCCAGGACUCGUAUCAUUCUACAGUUGCCUGUUAGAGCAAUAAAUGUCGUUUAGGACCCGUACCAUUCUAUGGUCGCCUAAACGUAGAUUUUGCUUGGCUAUGACCCGAACCAUUCUUCGAUCGCCCAGCGUUGCAACAUAGAUCAUCUGACCAGGACCCGAACCAUUCUUCGGUCGCCUGAAUCUUGAAAAAAUCUUUGGGGGGCAACUCCAUCGAGUGCUAGUGCUUGAAAAGGAAUACCUGUACAAUGACAAGUAUUUAAGGUGACAUCUCUGAUCUUUAAGGAUAUGUCUCCUAAAUUAAUGAAGUGACUCCCAUGUCGAUGAAGGGGAAUUUUGGGCUACGGAAGCAUGCCGAUUUACUAGGUCAUAUCAAGGGACACCGGGCUACGAAAACACACCGAGUCAAUAAAGAGAGAUACCGGGCUAUAGAAGCACGCCGGGUCGAUGAAAUGGACUCUGGGCUAUGGAAGCACGCCAGGUUAAUAUAAAGGACACCGAGCUACAAAAGCACGUCGAGUCGAUGAAAGGGACUCUAGGCUACGAAAGCACGCCGGGUCAAUAUAAAAGACAGCUUGACUGAGUCAAGUGUUGAUGCACUUGGGAGAGAAUACCUGCACAAUGACAAGUAUUUAGAGUAUGGGUAGAGAUAUACUUACCUAGUGACAUCUCUGAUUCUUGGGGAUAUGUCUUCUUGGAUUUAGAUAUCCUGUAGAGGUCUCUCACCUCCUGGUAGAAAUUUGGAACAUCAAGGAUGGACCUUCAAUGUUUGCGAUAAUUCCUCAUCUCCUAAUAUCAUGAGGCAUUCUGAAAGGAACUUGAAUGUCAGGAGCUCUUGGGUCUUUGAGAAAACAUUACCUGUCAGACAUGAUUAGAGCAAAAAUGCAUUCACCAAAAAAAUAAGCAAUUAAUGCUAUUCUGGAACGCACGCUUCAAAACCCACUGAAGUUUUUUAUCAAUUCAAUCGGGGUUCAUGCAUAAUGACCUUUGCAUUACCCAAAUUUCAACUAGAGAACUACCAUUCAAGACGAUGACAUGAAUUUCCUAAGAAUACCAAAUAAGAGACCUUCAGUUAGAGAUGACUUUCACUCACUCUCAUUUAGAGGCUAUUUUAUGAGAAUUACUCCAUCUCACUAUCAUCAUACCAACAAGGGUCUAAGUAUUCUCGCAAGCGGUACGACCUUACCAAUUUGAGAUGUCUUUAAUAAGGACCGUAAUGUGGGCUUGGUCAAUGGCUUAACAAAGGGACUCUUUGAGUCAAGGCUAUUGAAAAAACAACUUCGCAAUUAUCUCCGGGUUUACAAGUCAAGAACCCUGCAAAAUGAGAAAGAAAUAAUCUUGCUCGCAUCUCUUCGAGCGAUGCUUAUAAACAUAUGAACUCCUAUGUUAAUUCAAGUGCCAUAAUCUGAAGAGAGUUUGUAAAGGACGUAACGUAGGCUGGGUUCAUGGGUUAAGAAAUGAAAAGAUCAUUAGGCUCAAAAUGCAUGUGAAUGGCGAGAGUUGGUGAUCAUCUUGGCAUUGCCACCAGUUUUCUUUUUCAUCAUCGAAGAUUGUCUUCAUGAAAUGCCCCAUUGAUUGUAAAAACUCAACUUUUGAGUUCUUUGAGUAUUGCUCCAUCAGGAUUCAAUUCUUGCAAUUGACAGUCACCUUAUCUUGACUCUCUUUUUCAUCUAUGGGCAUUGGCCUUACUUUUACUAGGCACACCGCUUUUUCAUGCCCCUAGUUCUUAUUUAUUUUUUUCACUUUUUUUUCAUGAGCAUUGGUCUUGCUUUUACCAGGCACACUACUUUUUCAUGCUUCUUAGUUCUAUUUUGAAUUCAAUUCUUGCGCACAAUGCAUGCGUCAAACAAUUGCACUUUGAAUGACACUCGAACCUUUCAAGAGUCUUCAUCUGCCUUUUGCCCUGCCCCAGUGUGGAAGGAUGAUCACCAACUAGGUUUGAAGAAAUGAAAUUGCAGGCUCAAGUAGGCUACGCAAAGGAUAUAAGUGUUUAGGAUAGAGAAAGGAAUGCUCUUCGUCAUCCUAGGGCACUUAAAUUACCACAUGAAUUCAAUGUAAUAGCAUGACUAAAAGAUUGAUGCAAGUGAGAGCAAUAAAAUUUUAAUUCAUUUUGCUCACUUUAUGAUGCUGUCUUACCUCCAACUUGCCCCAAUGUGGGGUUGUUCUUGACAGGGGUAAUUUGAAAGAAUUUUCACAAGUGUAUGGAGCUCAAAGGGGUUAAGCAAUGGAUCAUAUGUAGUGUUUGGGAUAGAAAAAUGAAUUGCCCCUCAUCAUUUUGAUUAUCGUACUUUUUGCAAGAAAACUCUUUACCUUGCGGGUAUGGAACUUCCUACACUCAUCUUACAAGUGUAUAAGUAAGGGACUGUGUAUAGUCUGGAAGGAAAUGAAUGCCACCAGUAGUGCACAAAAGGGACAACAAGGGAAAUUCCCGAUAACCUACAUGUGAGGAUAGGUCGAUAAACAUGAGAAGUUCAAACAACGACUUAAUCGGGCAAUCAAACUUGAAAAGCUAAUGGCUAGAUCAAUGCCGGUGGGGUAUAUAUCUUAGGCAACCCCAAGCUGGGUAGGCGCCCAUUGAGACUCCAAUCACAUAAAAUCUGGACCCAAUCUGUAACCGGUCAACUAAUUCUUCAAUAUCUAAUGCCUCAUUUUUCACAGUGUGAGAUGGAUUUGGAUCACUAUCCCCAUAACCUGCUCUGUUGUAGAAGAGAGUAUAUUUUUAGCUCCUCCAUAAGUUCCUGUAAAAGAAAACAUGAUGAUGAUUGUACCAUAAUCAUCAAGACUUCUACCACAUUUGAUAAAGAUGCAGAAAUGCCGGCAAUCAAUCACCAUUAGUAAAGGACUACAUGCAUCAGAUUGGGAAGUCAAAAGGCAUUACUGCAAAGGGCAACCUGAAAAUCCAUGAUGCAAAGACAAAUCAUAUUUUUGUUCAGUGCGAAAUGCCACAAACAGUUUUUACUUUUCUUCACCCAAAACAACCUCAGUUCAACAUCCUCGUAUCCAAAGCUGUUAUGUGAUAGUGCAAUGACAUUCUGAUGCUGAAUUUGCCACAUUUAACUCUGCCAGUAUAGCUAUUUUUUUUUAAUUAACAAUGAAUUUUCUCCCAUAAAGUACGUUUCAGGAAAUAAACACACAAAGAAACUGCAGUAAUUGGAUGCAAUGCCCGCAACAUGAGAAAUAGGCAACAAUUAUUGGUCAGUGAAAUCGUACGAUCUACAUCAGUAAAGAAAAGCAGAGACGUUCCUUACUUGUGGAAUUGGUAAAUUGAGAUCCUUGGAGCUGUCGAACCCAUGGAUUACAAUAACUGUGUACUUAGCCUCUUCCUUUGGAGCGCCGAUCUCUUGUAAGCUAAAUACCUCCCAUCACUGAGUUUGACCCUGGGGGAUGUGAUUGGAGGACCAUUUCUCGAGCCACAUAUCUUUGGAGGCGGGGGCUUCAAUGCCUGGUAUGCCCAUCCAAGAACACCCACCACCACUGCCACCGCAAUAGGCCCCAACAAGAGGAGUGGCCAUUGAGUAAUCUUCCAGCUUAGAAAGAGAUAAUGUUAAUAUGCCUUAGAAGCCACAGACAUAUAUGCAUAUGAACAGCCUAGAGUAUGACAGCAACCAGCAUUCUCCACCAGGAUCAAGAUGAUGUUUCAAUCCUAGUUAAAAUGAUAAAUCCUCUGAUAGUUGUAUAAUCACUUCUUUAUCCUUUCCUCUUCCAUUUAUUAAUAUAUAUGGCCACGGCAAAUUAGACAUUCAUUCAAGCUCAGUCACUAAUCAUCAACGAUUGUUAAGAAAACCUGUCGCAAAAUGACUCAGAUGAGCAGAACAAGACUUGCAGAAUGCCUGUGAAAAUCUCAUCCCGGGAUUGUAACCAAUUAGAAAAGUAAAGGCAACAUAACGUAGCUGUGAUACACAGUAAAGAUGGUCGGAGAGCUUUAUGUGAAUCAUAUUGAAGGAUCCUUCAUGCAUUUACUUCGAUCCGAUUCACUUAAAUCAACAAUUGACCGCCAUAAAUCGAACUCAAACUCUACGUUUCACUUUUUAAAAUUCCAGAAGCAGCCAUCCACUUAGGACCUGCUUACCAAUUACUAAAUAAAACCUUCAUUCUGACGAUCAUAAAUGGGUGAAUUUUUUGGGCUUUUGCCAUAUGGAGGAGGAGAGUUACUGUUGUCCAAACGAUUCGGAGCUCGAAAAGGCCAUGAUGUAUCGACAAAGCCUUCAGAUUUGUAAGUGUCUGGAAUUACUGAUUCCCUGAAACCGGAUUCGACACUAAAUCGAACCCUUAAAAUAAAUGCGGAAGACAAGCCCAAAAACAAACAUGUAUCAUCGAUCCUAAGGCACAUCACAUAAACGAACGUACCUUUGUUUCCACAAACUAAACCCCGGUGUUGUGAAUCAAAGAGGAAUAAUCCACGUCGUUCUUCAGAGGAUUCUUCUUAUAUUGUUCUUUAGGAGAAAGCGGUGUGAGAAGACAUAACUUCUGAGAGAGGACGUGCAAAACCGAGAGAGAGCGUAAUCUCUCUUUUUCAAAAUACGUAACCUCUCUUCUCAAAUAACCACCUCUCUGAUUUUUCUUUAAUUUUUUAAUAACUUCCUUCAUGGGCCCUCAACUCACGGGCCGGGCCUUUUGGGCGGACGGACCAACUUAAGUCCAUCAAAAUGAAAAUCCAUCAUCUCCCACUCACACAUGGUGGGCCAAAACCAACAUGGGCGGACGGGCCCUACUUAGGCCUAUCAAUGAAAGUCCAUCAUAGACUCCCACUUGACAUGGUGGGCCGAACAUAAUCCUCUUUUCCUCACUGCAACAUUCAUACUGGUGAAUAGUCCGUGCGACCAACAUACUUUGAGAGCUCGUUACCAUAUAUCUGUUAAGAAUAUAUAGCAGCUCAUAAUGGGCAUCACAUCCUGAGUAGAUUUAGUAUGCAGUACCCUAGAUCGAUCGAUCACAUUUAUAUCUCUCUCUUGAUCUCUUUUUAAUCAUUGAUAUAUUGUAUUCAUAAUUAUGAUUAUCCCAAAGACAGUCAUAAUUGGUCGACCAGUGAACACAAAACUAUAAUGUGAUUUUCCAAAUUCGAUCUUCCUCUUUUCUUCAAACUCUCAAUUUCAGUUUAGCUUGCUUUUCUAGAAAUGUCCCAUUAGAUCGAAUCAAUUCAUGAUCAUUGGCAACAUCUUAAGAUAACAAACACUAAAUAGAAAUCUUGAGAAUAAGUAAGAGUCAUGAGGGCACUAAAUUGAUGAACUCUUUUCCUCAAGAGUCUCACAUAGCAUAAAAGUUAGGAUAAAAACUUUUGCCACUCUUAUUGGUCAUCUCAUGCAUACAUAGUAUGAAAUACGUAUUAUGGUAUUUAACUCAUUUCCCAUUGAGCGUAUGCCUACACCUCUAAUACCAUACAGAUGAUAGUUCAGACAUACUUAAUGUCUAACUUGAGUUCACGUAUCUACUCAUUCAUAAUUCAUCAGAACUCACAUUUAGCAUCAUAGAUAGAUAAAGUAAAAUAUGUGGGUUAUUUUACUUUUGGACAUAGUAAAUAUUAUGUCAUCAUCUUAACACUUAGUUAAGGCGAUAUAUACAUUUUAAGCUUGAGCUCUCGAUUAUCACAUAGAUAAUAAGCUUAAAAACCGUCUUAUCUCUAUUUAUCACACAGUAAAUAGAGGCGAUUACCCGUGUGAGUGGGCUAAUCUUUUAUCUGUCCGACAUACUUUCUCAACUUAAUAUAUAAUGCACUGAGCAUUAAGAUGCAUAAACAUCAAACAAAGAUUCAUAGGCAUUAAUGAUGAAAACACAAAUUCAUCAAAUGUGAACACUUAGUGAAAUUACAAUAUUCAGUACAUCAGCCUCUACGCAAUCCUAAAGAUUUCAUAUGGCCACAAAAUACAUCUCUAGGUAUUGGCUUUGUCAUAGGAUCUUCUACCAUUCUAUGCGUAGACAUGUACUGUAAGUUCACAUCUUUUCAUGUAACCAUAUCUUUGAUAAAAUUAUACUUGGUAUCUAUAUGUCUGGUCUUGCCAUGAUAUUUUGAAUCUUUGGUGUACGCUAUUGCUGCUUGGCUAUCACAGUUAACCAAUAAUGAAUCUGCAGCACUUCCAAUAAUACCUAAAUGAUCCAAAAAUCUCUUAAGCCAAACACCUUCUUGUAUUUCUGCUGAUAAUACUACGAACUCAGCUUCUAUCGUAGACAGGGAUAUACACGUUUGUUUCUUACUGCUCCAACAUAUAACGUCAUUAUUCAGUAAGAAAACAAACCCAGAGAUAGAUUUCAUUUCAUUUAAAUCUCCUCCCCAGUCGUAGAUCCUUUCCUUGAUAACUUAGCGUAUAAUCAGCAGUUCCCUUUAGAUACCUUAGUAUUCUCUUAACGGCUUUUCAAUAUGCUUGACUUGGAUUGGAUUAGUAUCUACUCACCAUUCCAACUGCAAAACAUAUGUUAGGUUUUGUAUACAUCAUAACAUACAUCAAGCUCCCAACAGUAGUAGCAUAAGGAACAUGUUGCAUUUGUUCCUUUUCUUGUGGAGUCCUUAGACAUAAUCCGUGGCUCAAUCCUUCGCCUUUUGCAAUAGGAGUAUCUUUAGAUUUACAGUCUUGCAUAAGAAAUCGUUCAAAAACCCUAUAUAUGUAUGUUUCCUACGAAAGAGACAAUGGUCUUUUCGAACGAUUUUUUGAGAUCUUAACUCCAAGAAUGCAUGCAGCCACACCCAUGUCUUUCAUCUCAAAAUUGGAAGAUAGUCAACUUUUGACAAUAUUAACAAACUCUUUAUUGCUUCCGGCAAUUAGUAUAUCAUCAACACAUAAUAAUAUGAUCACAAAUUAAUCUUUGGAUCUUUUGAUAUAUACAUAAUGAUCCUCAUCAAUCAUUGUUAAAAUCAUAUCACAUUAUGACAUUAUAAAAACGUAUAUAUCAUUGUCUCAACGACUGCUUAAGGUCAUAUAUCGAUCUCAAAAGUCGACAUACUUUUUGUUCUUGGCCUUUCAUAAUGAAACCAACAGGUUGUUUCAUAUAAAUUUCUUCGUCUAAUUCUCUCUUGAGAAAAUCAGUCUUUACAUCCAUUUGAUGUAACUUAAGAUCCAUACUAGCCACUAUUGCCAGAAUAAUGCGAAUCGAGGUAAAUCUCACUACAAGAGAAUAUGUUUCUUCAUAAUCAAUUCCUUCCUGUUGAUUAUACCCCUUCACCACAAGGCAGGCCUUAUGCCUUUCUAUCGAGCCAUCGACUUUACGCUUUAUUUUGAGAACCCACUUGUUCCCAAUAACUUUGCGUCCUUUUGGAAUAUCAACCAAUUCCCAAACUUGGUUUGACUUCAUUGACUCAAUCUCCUCUUCCAUUGCAUGAAUCCAUUUUUCCUUACUAGGGCAAUUUAGAGUCUCAUUAAUAUUUCUUGACUCAUCCUCAUCUUGUGAAGCAACCAUGAAAGUUUCCCCUUCAAUGCCAAAACGUCGACAGUGAAUACUUUUGCGACUUGUUCGCUGUAUGGGAGAUUGUACACUUUGCACAUCAUUCCCCAUCAUGCUCCCACUCGGAUUAGAUAAUGACGAUAUCAUCUCAUCAUGUGGUUGUAACUAAGAGUGAGUUGAAUUAAAUUCAUCACUUCUCAUGUUACUCUCACUUGGACAAACUCCACUAAUAUCAUUAUCUUGAUCCAAGGUUUCAAAUAUGGAGCAAGCUUCACCUAUUUCGCCCUUCUUAGGAAAUUCAUUCUCUAAGAAUGUGACGUCCCGUUAUUCAAAUUCAGUUAUACUCCCACUUUCCUGCUUACCUAUGAACACAUAUCCUUUCGAGUGUUCGGAGUAUCUUAUGAAAAUACUCUUCUUUCCUCUGGGACCCAAUUUCCCAAACUUGUGAGAGGGCUCAUGAGUAUAGGCAGCACAACCCCAUGGCUUAAGAAAACUUAAGUCCAGUUUUCUAUCUGUCCAUAACUUGUAUGGAGUGGAAGUAACUGAUUUGGAAGGCACCCAGUUAAGUAUAUAGGCAGCAGUUAACAACGCAUCACUCCAAAAAGUGAUAGGUAAGUUAGCAUGCACCGUCAUGGACCUAACCAUUUCCAGUAGGGUUCUGUUUCUUCUCUCUGCAACACCAUUUUGUUGAGGAGUAUAUGGAAUAAACAACUAUCUUUCUAUUCCUUUUUCAUCACAUAAUUUUCUAAACUCAUCAGAUAAAUAUUCUCGACCUCGAUCGGAUCGCAAUACUUUUAUUUUCUUGUCUAAUUGAUUUUCAACCAAAUUCAUAAACCUUUUGAAACAACUCAAUACUUCAGAUUUAUGAGAAAUCAAAUAGACAUAUCCGAAUCGAGUAUAAUCAUCUAUAAACGUGAUGAAAUAAACAGCCUCAUGCCUUCCUCUUACAUUCAUCGGACCACAGACGUUAGAAUGGAUUAAUUGCAAAGGAAAUUCAACUCUUUUACCUUUUCCAAAUGGUUUUCUUGUCGUUUUCCCUACUAGGUAAUGCUCAUAUAUGGGCAAAUCGACUUUUUCAAUGUUACCCAACAAGCUCUCUUUGGUUAGUCUAUUUAUACGUUGUCAGCCAAUAUGACCAAGUCUAGCAUGUCACACAUUCACAUGAUUAUCAUAUGAAGUAAAAAGACGUGAAAAUGUGAAUAACAAAUAUUGACAUCACCAUAGUCAACAUUUAGUACAAUAAAACCAUCCAGAAAAUGACCACAACUAUAGUAGUUUGUAUCCAAAUACAAAUCUACACUGCUAUUAUAGAAGUUCACACUAAAACCAAGCUUAACAAACACCAAAACAGACACUAAAUUUCGACAAAUCCUCGGAACAUAUAAAACAUCAUGUAGGAAUAAGGUGCAAAUUCCUUUAACUUCAGCUCUGGAGUUAUUUCCUACAUAGAUCCACUUAGUUCCAGUCGGAACUCGUCGGAAUUCUACGAAGGAUUCUCUAUCAUUCGCUACAUAGUCUGUUGCUCCCGAAUCUACAGUCUACAAAGGAUUAGAUUUAGUUAAAAACACAGAACUUGACACAUUAGCAAAACUUUUAAGAGUACGAGGGUGAGUACCUUUUUUGACUCGCGACAGUCGCGAGCAUAGUGACCCUUCUGAUCAUAGUUGGUUAGCUCUUGGUUUCUUGCAAUACUCUUCACUCGAGGACGUUUUCCUCUCUCAUGUUGGUUAGCUCUUGGUUUCUUGCAAGAAUGACUUGAUCCCUUGCAUUUCCACAUAUUGAACGAAUCAAUGUGCUUGCACUUAGAGCUCAAAGCUCCUUCUGAGCUGGAAGCAGUAUAGCAAAUAUGUGUUUCCUUCUCAAAUGCCUUGAGGCAAUCAUCUGCUAGCUCAAGGUGACGCACAACAUUCCCAAUUUCUUCCAUAACAUGGUCAAGAGCUUCUAGUGCUUUUUGCUUUUCAAACACACAUUGAAUUUUCAUAUUCAAUAUUUCACAAUUCUCGCAGUUCAUUUUAUCUUCUUUGUUCAAAUCAGCAAUUAUGUUCUUAGUUGCUGAAUCCAUCGAUCUGAACAUAUCAGAAAUAUAUACACGAAUUAUUAAUGCCUAUCAUUUAUGCAUUUAUUUUGCAUAAAACAUCAUAUUAAUGAAUAAUUUCAAAUUAGGUUUCAGAAUCAAGAGGUCACUAUGUUUACAAUCAUCAUCCAAAAAUCCUAACUUGAAAUUAUCAUUAAUAUAAUUUUCUAUACAAUAUAAGUUCAGCAAAGUCACUAAAACUUUCUUGAACUUCCCACAACAAAUUGUAAAUUAACAUGCUAAUUUACAACAAUAAAUAACAUUGAACUUUCAAUAAUUAAUCAUGUCCAUUACACUAAGCAAUAUAUUCAAAGGAAAAAAUAUCAACAUAGAAAGAGACAUCUACACCUGAAACAUCUCAUACUCAUCUAAGAAAUAAGUAAGGAAAGUCUUAUCUAAUCUAUCAGUAAUAUUCUUUAAGAGAUCUGAAGACACAUCGGCCAACUACGAAAAAACUUUUGAAGAGCUCUCAUGCCACCUCCAAGGUGCAUUCACUCUACGCCAUGUGACACUCAAUCCAAGGGUUAAAGUUUUGGUCAACUCGAUCCUAUAAUAUUCUCUUACAAAAACUUCUGCAAGCCUCUUAUAAUCCGGGACCACGUUGACCUCCCAUAGACGAUCUAACACUGCUUGUCAUUCAGGUGAAAGAGUGUCCAUUAAGGCCGACAGCUUCUCAAAAUCCGGCAUAAGAUAACCACUCCAGAUAAUUUCUUGUAUCAUCUUAUUGACCAUGACCACGUGUGAUACUAUAUCAUUAUCAUUCCACCAAUAAUUAGCUAACUCUAUUAUUAGCCUUUUAAUUCUUGCAUUCUCUUCAUUCGUUCUCGGAAAUGCAGGCAUGCGUGCAUAACGCAUCAUAGUUCAUGCAAUAAAUGCAGAACAAAAAGGAUUACAUAUAAUCUACAUAGACAUAAUUGAAAAAAGAAACAAUUGAUUUUCUUUUCUUUUUUUAAGUCAACGGUCAAAGUCAAUGGUUAACGCCGGUAAACGGUGGUCAACGCCGGUCAACACAGGUCAACAUGUGGUCAACGGUCAACGCAUGACCAGGUCAAGUCAACGGGUCCUCCGGGUCGAACGGGUUGGGUCCGGUCAGGCCGGUCGAGCCGGUCAGACGGAUCGAUCGGCACGUGCCCUGCGCGUGCGUGGGCAACCGCUAGCCGACGUCACGAUGACGUCAGCCGGCGCGUGCCUCGCACGCGCAGGCAAUUGCCGCGUGCGCGUGUGGUUACCGCGCAUGUGCAUUGCACGCACUGACGAAGCCGAACUCUUUGGCCGCACGUGGCGGCGCGUCCAGUGGCGUCCAGCAGCAAGCGACCACUCGAAAUUCUCGUAUCGCUAAACACUUCAACCCUAAGCAAUCAGAAUCACAAUUUGAUCUACGGAAAAACCAGAAAUAGGGGGAACAGUACAGCGUCGAGAUUUUUCCGUCUCUAAAACGAUUAACAGUGACAUUUAACAAAAAACAAUCAAUCAAAAAUUGUUUAUAAACGUAAAUAGUAAUCAGGAAACAUGAUUAAGAGGCUCUGAUACCAAUGUCAAAAAUUACCGAUUCCCUGAAACCGAAUUCGACACUAAAUCGAACCCCUAAAACAAAUGCGGAAGACGAGCCUAAAAACAAACAUGUAUCACCGAUCCUAAGGCAUAUCACAUAAACGAACGUACCUUUGUUUUCACAGACUAAACCCCAAUGUUGCAAAUCAAAGAGGAAUAAUCCACAUCGUUCUUCAGAGGAUUCUUCUUUUACUGUUCUUCGGGAGAAAGCGAUGUGAAAAGACGUAACUUCUAAGAGAGGACGUGCAAAAUCGAGAGAGCAUAAUCUCUCUUUUUCAAAAUACGUAACAUCUCUUUCUCAGAUAACCACAUCUCUGAUUUUCCUUUAAUUUUUUAGUAACUUCCUUCAUGGGCCCUCAACUCACGGGCCGGGCCUUUUGGGCGGAUGGGCCAACUCAGGCCCAUCAAAAGGAAAAUCCAUCAGUAAGCACCACCAUGAGAAAGUCCACCGUGCCAAAAUCUCCCGAGAUUGGCUUCUUUGAUGAGGGUGGAGGAGCAAGUGGGUUCAGUCAAGAUGGUUUCGGAAAAAAACAAUAAAAAACUUCAAGAAAAAAUAAGCAAGAAAUAAGAAAAUAAAAAUUCUCAACAUAGAAGGGGACAAAUGCAUCCUUUAGCUAUGGUUUCCCUUAAUCGACCUCUAAAGUUAUAUGUUGUGGAUGUAUUAUCCCUCCCUCCUUUGCGACAUGUAUUAGCUGUCUCUUUGAAGAAUUGGUGUUACUUUUCAUGCUGCUAUGGUAGGCCUCCAUAGAACCAUUUCUCGUUUGUAUUGAGCCAUAGCUUGCAUCAUCUAUUAGCUUUCUCUUUGAAGAUUUGGCGUUACCUUUCAUGCUGCUAUAGGAGGCCUCCAUAGAACCAUUCCUUGUUUGUAUUGAGCCACUUCCAAGGUUAAAAUUUCAUCAUGUGACCAUGUUUUUACCGUUAUGUAAAGUUUAAAUUUUCUUAUUCAGGAAGGUUAUGAUCUAUGAGACGUUCAUGAGCAUUAUACAUCCAAAGUUAUUGUUUAGGGGUAAUUUCAUUUCUGGUCCUAUGGCUUAGGUGGAUUGUGUAAUCCAAAUCCCGUAACUCUUAAUUCGUGCAAUCAAGGUCCCGGAACUUCAGUCCAUUUUUCAAUGUAGUCCUCUAAUGACCAGAGAUCAAAAAGUCCAAUCAAAUCGAUGACACAGGCUUGUAUGUACAAAAAAGAAAUGAUGUGAAAAGUAUGACAGCAAUAGUACAAUCUUUUGAGUACAUCCAUAUGUUGACCCUAUCUUUUUGAAUUUUUUGCAGUCGCCAUCAUGAAGCAUGUUAUUAAGAAAGGCUCUCAGACGUGCCAUAAGCAAGGACAUGCAUAUGCAUACCUGAGUUCCUCCAGCAUCAAUGACUACAAUAAUUGGAAGGCCGAUGCUCUCAGCAGCUUCUCUUAGUGUUUCAUCCAAAUUAGAGCAGACUACGUACAAACCAAUCUCCGAGGUAAAAUAAGUUCUCCUAGUACCUCCAAUUUUUCAUUUCCUUCUUCAACAAACAAAAAAGAAGCAAUUCCUUCGCCUCCCUCCUUAAAAAUUAACUCAAGAAAUUCUUCUAAUAAAAUAAUAUGUUAAAGCAGCAAUUCUGUAUCUUUUGGCAAUUCUGUAUUUUAUAUAUUUGGUGUCGCAUUUAGAAAUUCUUGGCCAAUGGGUAUCAUUUUAUGAGUUGCAUUGAAAUAAACGGGUUUAUUGUGGUGUUUCAUUUAUAAUUUGCUCUUUAUUUUAAAAUUUCUAAUUAUAUUCUAUUAUUAUUAUGUAAUGCGAAGUUAAUGUAUCAAGAUAACACGUCAAUGAAGGUGGAAGGACGUGAAGAGAUGACUCCGAUCAUAGAAUUGGAGUUUUCUGGCGAUGAAAAUGAAGAAGAGGCACCCCCUUACCAUGAGUGCCACAAAUAAGGUACUUAGUUUCAUCUUUCUCAUAAUAAGAAAUAUACAUCCGAAUGCUUGAAUCAUUAUGCGAGAAUCAAUGAUAAAGAUAAAAAAACAUAUCAAGUGAAGUGCAUUCAUUGUGGAUUCAUGCUUAAGUACCAUGUUGCUAAUAAUACUUCUGUAAUGAGGAAGCACUUAACCAUAUACAAAAGGUUUCCCCGUAAUGUAGAUAAGAAAUAGAAAUUCUUUGCACCAUAUAAUGUAGACAUGGCUGACAAGGCAGGAGGAGAUUUUAGUACCGGUAGCGUUUUAUCAAUAUAGUCGUUUAAUACCACCUGUGGUAGCGGCGUAGGUGGUUGAGCAAGGGAACUUUUCACGAGAGGUCCCGAGUUCGAUCCACGGCGUCGUCGUUGCUUAAGUGCUAGCCGCGCCUUACCUGGGGCACGUGGGUGGUGGUUUCCCACGUGUCUCCCCAGGGUUUACUCCGCCGCGAAGCGGCGCACUGGGGUUCCCUAGGUCACCAAAUAUAUAUAUAUAUAUAUAUAUAUAUAUAUAUAUAGUCGUUUAAUCAAGAACGUUGUAGGCAAAUGCUUACUCGGUUCAUCAUCCUUGAUGAGCAACCUUUUUUCCUUGGUUAAGCGUGUUGGAUUUCAUGAUUUUGUCAGUGAGUUACAAUCUCUCUUUACACAUUUAUUAUGUUUCACAGUGGCAAAAAAUUGCAUGAAGUUGUAUUUAUAUGAAAGAACUUAUUUGAAGAAUUAUUUUGGAAAAAUUAAUUUUAGGAUCGCACUCACAACUGAUACAUGGAGUUUCAUUCAAAAUCUAAAUUAUUUUUGUCUCACUGCCCAUUUUAUUGAUGAAAAUUGGAAGUUGCAUAAAAGAAUCAUCAACUUUGUGGUGAUGCAUAGUCACAAGGGUAGGGAGAUUAGGAAAAUUGUGAAAAAAUGCAUUCAGGAGUUGGAAAUACAAAAAAAGUUAUUCACAAUUACUGUGGAUAAUGCUAGCUUGAAUGAUGUCGCAAUUGGCUAUUUGAGGGAAAAAAUUUCGAAAGAAAUAUCGUUGAUAUUAGAUUGUAGUGUUUUGUACAUGAGGUGCACAGCUUAUAUAUUAAAUUUGAUUGUAAGAAAUAGCUUGACUAUGGUAUGUGACUUCAUUACAUGUAUUCGAAAUGUGGUUAGGUAUGUAAGGAAUUCUCCCACGAGAGUCAAAACAUUUCAAUCUUGCAUUGAGAAUGAAUUGAUCACUUAUAAUGGUUCGAUAGUUCUUGACGUUGCCACUAAAUGGAACUCCACUUACCUCAUAUUAGACACCACCAUAAAGUUUAGAAUAGCUUUCGAAAGAAUGGAAAAAGACGAUCUAUCUUUUGCAAGUGAGCUUAAUUAUGAAAUUCCUAGUGAUGAUGAUUGAGAAAAUACUAUUUUUCUUAUGGAAUUUCUAAAAGUAUCUAUGAUGCCACCAAUCGGAUGUUGGGGAGUUCAUAUGUUACUUCAAAUGAUUAUUUUGAAGGAAUAGCUAUUUUGUAUAGAUAUUUGAAAGAUGCGAUCGAUGUUCGGAUCCUAAGCUUCAAACUAUAGGUGUAAAAAUGAAAGAAAAUUUUGACAAAUAUUAUGGAAGCUUGGAUAAAAUGAAUAUGAUGGUGUUGAUUGCAGUUGUGUUAGUUCCUAAAUCCAAGUUGAAUUUUGUGAGUUUAUUGUAUGAACAAAUUUAUGAUGAUAAAUCGAAAAUUAAAAAAAUGCUUUACAAUGUGAAGGAUGCAUUGGAGCGUUUGUAUGAAUUUUAUGAGCAAUAUUCUAUUAUUUCAAGUGAUCGAAAUUUUGGUGACCAUAGUUUGGGUGCAAGUAAUAGCGAUUCCAAUGCCGAUGCGGGUGAUAAUGAAGGAAUAAAGAAGUAUGACAUCCAAGCUUUGAAGAAAAUGUUUUUAUACUCAAAUGAACAACGAUGCUAACAAUAAAUCUGAGCUUGAUGAGUAUCUUCAAGAAAAAAAUGAAAAUGUUUUUCAUCUUGACCUUUUGAUGUGAUGGAAGACUACUAGCUCAAAAUAUAAGAUCAUUUCUUUGAUGGCUCGAGAUAUUUUGUCUAUUUCCAUAAAUAUUAUUGCUUCGGAGUCAACUUUUAGUACAUCGAAUCGUGUGUUUGUUGGCUUUCGAAGUUCUUUAACUCUCAAAGUAAUUGAAGCUUUGAUUUGCACUCAAGAUUGGUUGAAAGUCGUUCAUAUACCGAUUGAUAUUGAAAAGUGCAUUGAGAAUGCAGAAAAAAUUGAGUUGGGUAAGUGAUGUUUAUAUCUUUAUAUAUUGUAAUUUUUUUUGUAUAUUUAAUAAGCGAAUAUUUUAUUUAAUCUUUUUUUUUUAGAUAUGAAUUGUCUUAAUGAGGAGAUUAUCAUCUGUAAAUAGAGUUUACUAGUUAAAGCGAAAUGAAUAUACGUGGUAAGUCUAUUAGACUUCUCCAUUUUUUGCCAAUGUUUAAGAGAUUGCUCUCACUUGUUAGAGAGGUUGCUGAAGAGAGCUGUUACUUAAGUUAUUUUUGCAGGUUGUCUUGUGAUUUUAUGAUAGUUAUCAAUUUAAGUUUCUAAGAGUUUUUUUGGCUUUGCAUGAAGAUCUUUACGUGUGGAUUUCCUCCUUUAGAAGACCGAGAUAAGUCUCUGAAAGCACUCGCUGGACUUGAUUUUUUUGGAGGCGGUGCAUUAACCAAAGAGGAGACUGUAUCCUGAAAACUCUAUGGAUUAAUUAGAUGGUGAAAAUGUACAAUUAGUUUAUGAAGCUUCUGAUGUAUUUUCAUUUUUCUUUACGCAUUUUACAGCCCAGACUCGCAAAGUUAGAAAAAAGAGCGGUAGCAUCAGGUGAGCAUUGCAUUCAAUUCUUUUUUCUUUUUUCUUUUGGUAAAGGCAUUGCAUUCAAUUCUUGUUAUACACAGAACACAAGUUUCUUAUAUUUUCCUCUGUACAGUGGUUUGUACUAGAUGGUAACAAGUAUUGUGUUCGUGUAGAGCGCAGUUUGGCAAGCUUGGGCAGAUGAUUGAAUCCCACCCACGUCUGAAGGAGCAUAGUCGGUUUCUGUUUAUUCCGAGCCCUGAGGAUGCAUGUAUGUAUGUAUGCUGUGAUUUGAAGUGCAUGGACCUCAUUGCUAAAGCCCUAAGAAAAUCAACUUCCACCUUUUUAAGGUCCCUCAACAGUUUUACCUAUAUGUGCUUUGCCAAGAUAUAUCACAGAAGAGUUUUAGAAAGUCAUUCACGGGUAAAAGUCCACCGAGAGAAGGAGUUUGAAGUCACAUUACAAAGACUGAGAGGCAAAAGUGUCAAUAUUACUCAGGAAGCAGCCAAUAUUAGAGUAAUAUCUCAAUCUCGCUCGUCUUUCAUAUAAUUUGGAAGCAUCUGAUUUUUGCUACUGAGGUUUCUCUUUUCACUUGUCUUAUAGGACUAUACAAAGACCUUUGAACGGUAAUCUCAGUCUAGAAUUCUAGAUAUGUUCCAAAGAUGCUAGGCUCAUCCACUUAUAGUGAGAAUGCCCUCAAAAUUAUUCAAAUUGCUUGCAAUUUUCAUGCCCCUUUCUUAUAUUCAUAAUAUUGUCAAAGCAAUAGAUAGCAGUUGGGCUGAUGGUGCUUCAACAAUUUGGUGGGAGUAAUGCAUUUGCCUACUAUGCAGGUUCCAUAUUUGAAUCAGCCGGUAAAAAUCAACAGAUAAAUACAUUAGUAAUAUACAUUGCACCUAAAAAGGCUUUAAAAGAUGACUUGAGAACCAAAUUAGAUAUGCAACACCAACCAGGAGAUGACAAGCAGGAAUCAGCAAUGAUAACCAUGAUACUUCUCUAAAUGAUACAAGCACGUGUUAAUAGCUCUAACUUCAUAGCAGCUCCAAUUAGUAUCAAGGAACAGGUGAAGGUCACUGUCCAACCUUAAAGUCCAGUAUCAUCUGUUAACGGAAUCCUGAUGAGUUCAAAUGAGGACACGUCAUUCACCAAGGCAGGGCUGAGGAAAGCUGAGGAAUUGAUGACCGGAGCUUUCACAGAAUUCUACCAAAAGCUUCAACUUCUAAAGAGCUACUGGUAAGGCCAAUCUUCGCCAAAUUUUGGGUAAUCGAGGAUCACCCGUGUUCCUUUUCUCAGUACAAUGACAAGCUAGUUAACCUGACAGCGUCUUGAACCAACUAGCAUUCUCCAAAAUUAUGAAGAAGUACGACAAGAUACAUUAAUUCUAUCGUUCUAACUAUCUUCUUCAAGGUCUUUCGAUGCUCGACUAUGCUAGCAAAUCAUCCACCGUCUUUAAGUAAGACUUUGAAGCAUUAUGACGAGCGACUGAGAUACUAAACUUUUUCCCAACAAUGACACCCUUCUCAAUAAGGGAAAAUUUGGAUCAUCUUUAGAACCCCAGGUUUCAAGGCUUAUGGAAAGAGUUUAAGCUGCAUUUAUAAAGCAUUUUGCUAAUGGAAACUGCAGUAAAGGGAUGUGAACCCUAAGACCGAUAGAUAAGAGAGAGAAGCAUAGAAUUGCGUUCUUUCUAGGUAUACAUUUUACAAGAAGAAACAUUGUUAGUUCAAAUAAUGAACUCCUCUAUGCUUUCUUUCUCUGUAAGUGCGAGACAAGGCUAACAAGCUCUCUCAAUUUGUGAGACUGAGACUGCCUCUUUCUACCUAAGUUGUUAUCAGUUAUGUUUAUCAAGGUACAUUUUUAUGUUUUUCUGGUGCUUGUAGGUUGCUUUACUGCAUGUUUAUUGGCUUUUGCAGUAAGCAUUAUAGUGGCUGUACAUGCAAGAAAUCUCCUAAAAAGAAACGGGCGCCAAAAAUACGUGGAAACUAUAUUUCCCCUUUAUAGGUGAGUUAAAAUGUUUCUUUCAGGUUCAUUACCAUUUGAACGAUGGAAAACUUUGAAAACGUCUUCUUUAUUGAGAAACAAUAUGAUGGCUUUAAGUGGAUGGAUGAAUCAUUCUGGAAUAUCUUCUUUCUGCAGCUUGUUCGAAUUCAUUAUUUUGCACAUGUUAAUGUAUGCCGCGAACAUAUACUACUGGAGGCGCUACCGUAUCAAUUACUCCUUUAUAUUUGGCUUCAAAAAGGGGACAGAACUGGGUUAUCUGGAGAUCCUUCUUAGUUCAGGGCUGUCGUUGUUAAUGUUGGCUAGAGUUCUAUCUAAUCUUGAUAAGGACAUGGACCCAAGAAUGGAAAGCUAUAAGGCACUAACAGAAUUAGUUCCACUCAUUUUGGUCGUGGUAAGAUUGAAUGAAAUUGCUCCAAUCAUCCAGUGUCGAUACUUAUGCAUUUGAAGGUGGAUAAGUUUGUUAAUAGGAGAAGGCUUUAUUUGGUAGUUAACGAGACUAAGGACUCCACUCGACAGGUUGUGAUUUGGAUAACAUUCUGCCCUUUCAACAUCAUAUACCGUUCGAGCCGCUUCUUCCUGAGUCAGUGUGCUUUUCAUUGUAUAUGUGCUCUAUUUUACAAGGUGAGCACACUAACUUAAGACAAAUCAAGCCCACAUACAUAACCUUCAUGAAGUAUGGGGUGAUUUCAUUUCACUAUGUCAAUGUUGCCGAUAACGCUACUUGAUUUUUUCUUGGCAGAUCAACUCACCAGCUAGGUUUGCUCUUGUAGUAUUCAUACUUCUCAUGAAAAAAUUCUAUAAUACUAGCUAUUACUAUAUUCCCAAGUGAUUUCAGCUUGUGUUAGUCUCAAGCCUAUGACCAGAUUUUCUAAAUCAUUUAACAUCAUAUCAAAGAAUAAGAGCAUGGUUUAUUUUUGACAUGUUUUUCAUUGGUCUGAUCUGCUUGACAUAUUAAUGAGGAUCUAUAGCAGUAUUCUGAAAAUUGGUCAUUGCCUACUUCAGCAAAAUCCUUUCUCGUCAUAUCAAAGAAUAAGUGACCGUGAUCUUUUAGAUCCUGGGUGUAAAGUCAUCUGAACAAACAAAACUGAAUCAACUCAUUACAUUGUCGUUUCUUGUGGUAAUCUUCAAACCAAGGUUUCUUUGCAUGUAACUUAUACCGAUGGUAAAUAUUAUUCAGGUUCAGGCCUUCAGAAAUUUAGAAUUUUAUAUGUCACUAUGGUUGGGGAGAUUUCAAAACUAGAUCAAACAAGUGCGAUGCAAGCAAACUCUACGAAGCAUUUUACUUCAUCAUUACAGUUAUUCCAUAUGGGAUGCGUUUCCUUCAGGUAAACUUGCAUGAAGGCAUAUUAGAUCUCAUGAAAUUCUCCAUUGACGAAGCCUCUUCAAAGAACUGCUUUUAACGUCUUGUCUCAUUUCCUUUAAGAAUUUUCCUAUUUGCUAUGUAAUAUCAUAUACAUUUGUUCUGUCAUGUUGGUUCUCAACAUUUUCAUGACAUUCUAAUGUUUUUUGUGCCUCCAGCGCUUGUACAACGAGGGAGACAUAAUGCAAGGGCGCAAUGGCCUGAGGUACUUUUCCACCAUCGUUGUAGUUGUCAUGAGAACAAGUCAUGAUUUGAGAAGGGGGGUUGCAGCGGCCAACUCGGGGAUUGCAACGGUCGCCAGCACGUACUGGGAUCUUGUCAUUGAUUGGGGCCUCCUGAGGCGCAACGCCAAGAACUCCCGGCUAAGAGAUAAACUCACAAUUCCAAAUAGAAGUAUUUACUUUGUAGCCAUGGUAAGCAAAUGCUCACAUUCACAUUGUGCUUUGCAACUUUCGUAAUUUCUACUUAGAGGAGUUGAAGGCUGAAUGCUAGAAGCUUCUCGACUUUCUUGUUUUGCUGGCAGGCAUUCUCAUGGAUUAACCCUGCUUGACUUAUGUGCAACUGCAAGUACUGAAUGUCACACUGAGACUUGCACGGAUGCAAAACAUUUUAGGCUUCAGAGAAGCGCCUUUCCUACAUAGAAUGGCCUUGAUUGCAAUCGUUGCUAGCUUGGAAAUCAUCCGCAGUGGGAUUUGGAAUUUUUUUAGGUAUGUUGUGUUCUUUUUCCCUACUCUAACCUUUGUACCAUGAAGUAGAAGAAUCCAAUGACAUACCUGAUGGAACACUGCUGAUCUUUUACCGGCAGAAAGGGUUCCUAAUGGAUUCAUGCUCAAUGUUGUGCGAAUGGAGGACCUAGCAUCGCCAAAUAGAAGCGGGGAAUGCAACUUUGAAGUCCCCAAAUGCUUGCGACUGGAUUCGCCGGAGAAGGAGAUGGAUGUGAGCUCAACAUCCGAAUUUUUUUAGGUAUGCUGUUGGUUUUUUUUUUUUUUAAUAUGAUAUAGCAAAACUAAGUUUGCUUGUAAACUUAAGAGUGGUUUGGAAUAUCACAAUGCUAGUUUAUAACAUACAGAUUUUCCUUAAGAUCUUACCCAAUGGCGGGAAUGAGCAAUUGUUACAUAGUUUACCUUGAAAAUGAAACCAAAAAAAUGAGACAAAAAAAAAAUCCAUUAAAACCUGGAAUCGACCCCAAAACCUGUGACGGGACAAACUCCAGGUUCUUGGUUCUGACAGGUAGAUUUCAGGUUCCAAAAAAUGAGGAACUUGUACCCGAUGGUAGGUUCCAUGUUCCAGAUAGAACCUAUAAAGAACCAGGAAUCACUCACCCCUAGCACCACCCACAACAGACCCCAUAACUUCUUCGUAUGCAUUCUAGUCAUAGUUACUUAUCUUAGUCAUCUUAGAUAGCUCGACAAGCACUAGCCCUUAUAUAUGCGUGUGAAGAGGGUCUCUCAGUUAAGCCAUCUAGUGUGCGUGUCAUAAAGAGCCGGUAUAAAGGGAGACAAGCUUACCCCACCGCACAUUGUUGAUGCCUUCGACUUCCUAGACCACCUCUCUAUCGUUCUCGAGCUCUGCAAUUGCUACACCCCCUUCGGCUCAUCACCAAACACACUCUCUCAGAGCCUAAGGCUUGCCAUGUCGUCAAACGGGUGCAUUAUCAUCGUCCAUCGUGAUGUGAAGCCCGAAAACAUCUUGAUCGACUGAUGGAACAACCCGUAGCUCACUGACUUCGGGUCGACGAUUGCUUAGUGUUGAGGAAAACUUAGGCAACAAUUCAUCACAAACUAAACCCAAUCCAAGAUCAAUUUCUCUCCCCGAAACUAAACCGAGCAAAAUCAACUUAGCUCCAUCAAUAACCAGCCAUAUAUAACCUCAAAAUAAGCAAAUAUAAUGCAUAAAUGAUAAGUAGACAAAGUCAACAACAAUACCAAGGUUUUAACGUGAAAACCCAAUGUCAGAAAAAUUACAGAUCGUCCAAAAACUUUUACUAAUCACUAAGAAUAGUAGAAUACAUAAAGUAUUUUUCUCCAGUCACACACUAGGCUCCUCAUAAAUAUUAUAGGUUCAUUUCCUCACCACAAAAGUGGAUAAACAUAAAUGGGGCAACCAUAACCGUAAUUGGAGAAUUCAUAGGUGAAUCUUGAUGAACGAAAAUCAUUAACUUGUAGCUCUCAAUCUCAUGAACGACAUAUUCUAAUUUGAGCCAAUUCCGUUAAUACGACAUAUUCUAAUUUAAGCCAAUUCCGUCAAUAUUUGACUUUCGAAUGGAAGCUCCAAAGUUCUGCCUCUUUUUCUUUUCUUCUUCUCCACACUCUUGGGUAACUCUCUCGAGUGGGGACACUCUCUCUUCCUCUCUCUCCUCUGGUCUUGCCCGAGGCAACCACUUACUUUUCUUUUUGUUGUUUUCUUUCCUUUUGACUUUUCUUCCUUUUUCUCUUUUGUUUUUCUUUUGUUUUGUUUUAUGUUAGCUAGGCCCACAAGAGGUGGACCCAACCAGCACUUAUUGACGAGGGCAAGGAUGAUGGUGGAGGGCAAGAUGGGGAUCCAGUUCUACGCUCCGCUAGAAGUGCUGCUCGGGAGGGAAUCACCGUCCAACAAAUAAAGAAAUCAAACAUGCUUAUCAAAAUCUCCCUUCAAAUUCCUAAACUGGACUUGAGCAGGUCCUUAAAAGAAUCACGGAGGAAACAGGCGGGAGGACCGCCCUGGGGUGAGAGACCCCGCAUUGUCCUCCUAUUCCCUCUCUGUCGGGAAGCCAAAGAUAGACAGGGAAUUAAGGGACUUCACAAUGGUAAAGAUAGAUACUACGUCAAAACUUCUAUUUUGGCUAUUAUUAGGUAGGCAGGUAUAAUAGCAUCUCGCACCUGAAGUGAGUAAGGGUGAGUUAAAUGCUCACAAAUGGGUUGACACGCCUUACGGCACUAUUCUCAACCAGAACAAGCAAAAUUCUAAUAGGAAGAAACCUCUUUUAACUCCAUAAGAAAAAAAAAUCCAAUUCACACUUGAGCAAUGCCAGCGCUAGGUUGUUGUGGUUGGUGGUGGGGGUUUCCUGGGCAACGUGAUGGGAUGAAUAAAAGAAAUGCAAAGUGCAAAAGGAACGAGAGACUAAUCAGUGAGCUCCAUUUAGACAUGUGGCAAGUGCUAAAUUAAGUAUUUUACUACCUAUAUGGCAAGACAAGCUUAUUUGAUAUUUUCUCGAAUAGCUAUGACUUUGCAAGGUCUUCUUUAAAUUAUUAUGAGAUCAUUACACAAAUGGUUCAUGAAUUUAUUACAUGAACUUUAGCUCAAUAUAUAAUAUCAUCUCUCAAUUUUUUUUUAUGUUCAAUAUGAUUCAUGAACUUUUGGUACAUAUUUAAUCUAGUUUCCGAAUUAUAUGAAAAUAUCUUAUAUCGUCCAUGAAAUUGAAUUAAUAAAAGAACAAUAAAUUAAAAUUUCAAUUACUACAAUACAUAUUAAGCUAAAGAUAAUAUUAAAUAAAUUAGAACUUUAGGAAUUACAUUACACAUUAAACUAAAAUUAUUUAAGGAUUAAUUGUGGUGGCGGGAUGAACUCAACGGUAGAGGCGGCAGCGCGGACUUCCAUGAUUCCAUCUUCCCUGAAAUAAUAUCCUUGGAGGGCGGGAUGAACUCAACGGUAGAGGAGGCAAAGCGGACUUCCACCUUCCCUAAAAUAAUAUUCUUGUGGGGUGGGACUUUCUUGGCAAUCACGUUCCGAUGACGUCAGCAAUGACGUUCUUGACGCGGAGAAGAUACUUACUACAUGGUCAGAGCAGCAGGUGUCGUUCUUAUUCUUGAUCAUUAUAUUGUACCGCGGCCAGCACGACCAAUCAAAUAUGCCAAGGCUGCCAAACGCGCUGAACUACAAGCGGCUUUUUUAAAAUAGGUGAAUCUCACUAAAUUAGUUCUUUGAAUUUCGCGUGGUGUUGCAUAGGAAAUUAUAAGGGUGCGCUAAGCAAUGCUUUCUACUCCCGUGAAUAGGAAUCCAAUGAAUAUUCGAGUAGUACAAAAGCAGUUGAAGUAGAUAAUUUAUUGUAACGACCCGAUGCUUAUUAUUCGACUUUUGUCUGUGAAAGUCAACUUUUUAAUUGUCACGAAGAACAAAAACUGAUCAUAAUAUGAAAAACAAAAGUAAAUGGAGUGAUAUUCGAGCUCUACACCACAUUAAUGAGCAUAUUAUUAUAUUUUGUUUUUUUUAACUCUUUUGAUUUGUUCUUCAUCUUAUUUGUAACUCAUUUACUUAGCACUUUUUCGUUUAGAUUAUUUUUAUUUUUUGUUUGCAUAUACGUGACUAAAAUAGCAUCAUAAGUAAAUGUAAUUUAAAUGAAUUCAUAGAAAAUAUAAACAGCAUAAAAUAUCAUUUAAUAUCCAAACAUACCUUAGUUUCUCUUAUAUUUUGUAGAAAAAAGGGUGGGUGAUGCUAGGAUAUACACCUAGCAAUUUAAGAUCGCAAGAUACUUCCUCGUUACCUAAGGAUUGUUGCCAUAAGAAUUUAAUUUCUUCGGACCUUUUGAUAAUUUAUGAAAAAAUGAGAUUAAAAAAGAAGCCGUGAAGGAUGAAGUAAUUGAACCCCGCCCGCCAUACUGUUUGCCUAUAUAAACAAAUGUUUCGACGUCCAUAUGCAGGCAUUACCCAAAUAGAGGUUGUAAGGUACGACAAAGGAAAACAUGGGGGAGACCAUAAUCCUCUAUCCGUCACCGUUGAGGGGUCACAUCGUCUCCAUGCUCGAGCUUGGACGGCUCAUUCUCAAACGCCACCCUCGCUUCUCCGUCAUCGUCAUCCUCUCCUCCGCUUCUGCCGCCGCCCCCACCCCGGUCGCCAACUCCUCUUCCAUCACUGUGCUCCACCUUCCACCAUCCACCGCCGCCCCAGCCGAGGGCAAUCAAACGCCCUUCGAUUUGGCCCACCGCGACACCUCCAACCUCCGCCUCACCCUUGCUGCCAUCGCUGCUGCCGCGGACCUCCGAGCCCUUAUCAUCGAUGUCUUCUCAGAUGCCGCCUUCCCUGUGGCGGCCGCCCUUGGCAUCCCGACCUACUACUACUUCACCUCGGGUGCUGCUGCCCUCGCCGUCUUACUCCACUUUCCAACCCUCCACGGGAGCACCACCAAGAGCUUCAAGGACCUUGGAGACGAGACCCUGAACAUUCCUGGGUUGCCUCCAAUCAAGGCCUCGGACAUGCCGGGGGGCAUGCAUGACCGAAGCUGGAGAAUGUACGGCUACUUCUUGGAUGCUUGCAGGAACAUGAUCUCGUCGUCUGGCAUCAUUGUUAACACGUGCGAGUCGCUUGAGAGUCGGAUCAUCAUGGUCAUCAAAGAAGGAUUGUGCGUGCCAGACAGGCCGACUCCGCCUAUUUUUUCCGUUGGGCCUUUGGUUGAGUCAAAGGUUGACGGUGACGAGGGCGGUGGCGACACAACAGAAAGAAGGCACGAGUGCUUGAGUUGGCUCGACUCGCAACCGAGCCGAAGCGUCGUGUUCUUGUGUUUUGGCAGCGAGGGAAGGUUCUCCGCUGCGCAGCUGAAGGAGAUGGCCUCGGGUAAGCUUUCGUUUCGUGCAAAAAUUACUUCACGUGCCGCUGCUUAAUUCAAAUUCAAUUCUCCUGUUUAUUAGGUUUGGAGAGAAGCGGGGUGAGAUUCUUGUGGGUCGUGCGGCCUCCGCCGCAGGAUGCGUCCGCAAAAUCAACAUCGGGGUCAAACGAUGGCCACAACACGAGCAUAGAGAAGUUCAUGCCGGAGGGAUUUCUGGAGAGGACAAGAGAGAGGGGGAUGGUGGUGAAGUCGUGGGCACCGCAGACACAGGUGCUGAGCCACGGCUCGGUGGGUGGGUUCGUCACUCAUUGCGGCUGGAACUCGAUCAUCGAAGCAGUGCACGCCGGCGUGCCCAUGGUGGCCUGGCCUCUCUAUGCGGAGCAGAAGGUGAACAGGGCGUUUCUCGUGGAGGACGCCGCUCUGGCGCUCCCACUGAGCAUGUCGAACGAGGACGGGUUCGUGAGUGCGGACGAGUUAGCCAAGCGGGUCACCGAGCUGAUGGUGGGCGCGGGAGAAGGAAAAGUGGUCAGAGAGCGGGUCUUGGCCACAAGAGACGGCGUGGUGGAGGCCUUGAGCGACGGCGGAUCCUCUCAGGUUUCAUUGGCCGCGGUGGCGGCGCUAUGGAAACGAGGCUGAGACCCUAGCGCACUCACUGUCAAUCGAUUAGCUGACCUCAAUAGGGAGGUGUCACAACGACCAAAUUAGAGUACUAUGUCAUAAGGGUGAGCAUCCGUGGAGGAUUACCCAUGGACCUGGAUCAGCCUGAUUCGGCUAAUCUUGAUCCGGUUUUCAGGGGAAUUAGGGCAUUUCUUAAUCCUGGGACCCAUGGCUCAUAUACUGUACGCAUUGAGUCAGUUUUGACAUUUUAGAACUGAUCGAACCCGGAUCAAUCCUAUAUAUAUAUAUAUAUAUAUACUCUUUCUAUUCUUAUGUGGUUCUACUAGGUAAAUUAGGAAGUAAAGACUCAUCCUUGAUUCAAUCAAAAAAAUAAUUUAAAAAAACCCCUCUUCACUCACCUCGCUACUCAUCUCACGAACGCUGCUCAACUAGUGAAAUCGCUCACCUCUCUCAGCCCGCCUUACAAACACAGCUCGUUCACCUCUUAAAUUUCGCAUAACUUUUUUUUUUAUGGUUUGUUGCUUUUAGCAAAUGAAGAACUAUGCGGUGCAAUCUUGCCAAAUUUUUUAGACAAUUUCAAUGAGGAAAAGAUGAGACAAUAGCACUAAAGAACUGGCAAUUACAAUUUCAUGGCAAGAGCGGCUUUUGCUCGUGGUAUCAUUUUUGAGUUUUAGAGUAUUUAUUUGGUAUCACUAGUAAGUUGGAGAAAAAAAGAUGUAAUUUGAUUUAUUUCCUUUUUGUAUUUACAUUAAGUUGGGAGAAGAUGGUGAGCUUGCUAUUAUUAUUUAGGCUGCGUUUGUUUUUACUUCUUUUUUUUGUUUUUAAACAUUUUUUUUGUUUUUUGUUCCUAGGAACAAAAAAAGAACAGAAACACGUUUGAGUGCGUUUUUGUUCCAAAAUUGUUUUUUUGUUCCCAGAAACACAUCUGGAACAGAAACAAGAAACAAAAAAAAAGUUGUUUCUUGUUUCUGAAACAAAAUUUAGAAACACUUUUUUCUUUUCUUCUUCUUUUUCUUCUCUCUUUUUUCUUCUUCUUUUCUUCUUCUUUUUUCUUUCUUUUUUCUUUGGCUGGUCGCUAGCCUCAGCCAUGACCGGCGACUGGCCGACGAGAGCCAGCGGCCUCGCCUAGCCACGGCGAGGCUCGCUGGCCCCCGGCGAGGUCGAGCCUCGCCGGCCGCUGGGCGAGGCUCGGCCUCACCGGAUCUGGGCGAGCUCCUGGUAAUGGCUCGGUGAGGACGAGCCUCGCCAACCGCUGGGCGAGCUCGGCCUUGCGCUCGGCUGGGCGAGCCAGAUCUCCCCCAGAUCCGGCGAGCCCACGCCCGCCCCGCGGCCGGUCAGGCUCGGCCUCGUCCAGCCACCGCCAGGUCGGUGUCGCCUGGCGGUGGCCCGGCGAGCCCGAGCUCGCCUAGCCAAGGCGAGGCCGCCGGCCAAAAGAAGAAAAAAGAAAAAAUGAAAAAUAAAUAAGAAAAAUAAGAAAGAAAAUAGAAAAAAUAAAAUAAAAAUAUUAAAAAAUAAAAGAAAUAAAAAAAUUAUACAAAUUUACCAAACGUGUUUCUGUUUAUUUUUUAUUCCCGGAAUAAGUUUACCAAAUGCGUUUUUUUGUUCAAAAAUUGUUCCCUGGAACAAAAAUACUUUUUUCUAUUUAUGUUUUCUGGAACAAUUUUUAAAUAGAAAUGUUACCAAACGCACCCUUAAUUGUUACAUAACUUUCUUUUGUCUCGUGGUGGGAGAUUGCGAAUUCUUUUCUUUUUUUUUGGGGGUGCCGGUAAAUUUCAAGAAGUAUUGAUGAGUGUGAAAAGCCUAUUGGGGACUAUUAAUAUAUUUAUGAGAUUAUCAAUUUUUUAUAAUUUUUAAUUUAGUAAUUUAACAUGAAAUUAUCAACCAAUCUAAAUCAGUGCCACUCACCAUUUUUUUUUCUGAUUACAUUAUCUCUAAAUGUUUUGCUAGUAACUCUCAAUCGCGCUUCUUAUCGACGUUAAUUUGGUUCUCUUUUGACUUUUCUUAUUGUUUACAAAUUUUUAUUGGAUUAAUACCUCGAAAAAAUUUAUCUCAAACUAAUUUUUUACUAUGAAAAAUCCCAAACUAGUACGCAUGUGACAAACUUACCCCAAAUCCAUUUUUUUACCAUAAAAAAUCCCAAACUGAUACACUUAUAAUAAAUUUACUCUUUAUUAACUUUCGUCAAAUUUUACCCUUGAAUUUGCUAACUGGAUGACACAUGCUGACGUGGCAAGUCCAAGUGAAAAUCCGUAGGAUUUUUUUUUUUUUGGUAAGGUAAGUAUAAAAAAAAAACAUAGGGUUAAUGUCACCAAAAAUUCCAAAUUUGUCACGAGCAUAUCGUUAAAUUUAUUAUGAGAAUACUGUUAAAUUAUCACAAAAGUAUUGUUAAAUUUGUCACAUAUAUACCGAUUUGAGAUUUUUUUAUGAUAUUUACCAUAUGGAUUUCCACAUAGACUUGCCACAUCACUACACUACGUCACCAUGUGUCAUCUAAGUCAACAAAUUUAACGUUUAAAUUUAACGAAAGCUAACAAAGGGUAAAUUUGUCAUAAAUAUACAAAUUUGAGGUUUUUGAUGGUCAAAAAGUUAGUUUUGGGUAAAUUUAUCAUAGAUUUAUUAAUUUGGGGUUUUUAGUGUUCAAAAAAUUAGUUUUUGGUAAAUUUAUCAUAAGUCCAUAAAUUUAGGAUUUUUCAGAAUAUUAACCCAUUUUUAUUUGUGUUUCCAGCGAUUCUUUAAGUCUAUUGACCCUUUUUAGAGAUUAUUAACCUUAAUUAGAAUAAUUUAUCAUCUUUUCUCCAAUCAAGUUACUUUUUAAUUUGGGUUAUCAACUUAUAUCUGAGUUGCUUACUAAAUUUAUUAAUUCUCCAUCAAUUAUUAUCAAUUUUAUUUGCUUUUCGUUAAUUACAUACCAAAUUUACCGACUCCAAUAACGUCGACAACCACAAUGGUGUGAAAAAAUACUAGCUAGGUCUAUCUUACUGUUUGGGCACUAGGACACUCCAUUUAGCUUUGGCCAUAUAUCUAGGUUGGGCUCACUUGUUAGUCUCUUUUGUCUCCCUCUUCCACACCUUGCACUAAACAUGGCCAAGACAUCCACAACAAACCGCACGACUUCUUCGUCUGCAUUGUCUCCCCACCACACACCACCGAUGCCUUCGAUUUCCCAGACUGCCUCUCUAUCUUCCUCAAGCUUUGCAAGUGCUGCACCCUCUGCGAUUUCAUCACUCACUGCCCCCUCUCAAAGCCCGAGACUUGCCAUGCCGUCAAACGGGCGCGCUGCCACCGUCUCCGUGGUCGUCCGCUGUAACGUGGAGUCGAGUAGCAUUUCGAUCAACUGGUGCAAUGACCUGAAGCUCUCGGACUUCAGGUUGGCAAUCUAGCUUGGUGUCAAUGAUUAGGGCGAUGGUCGAGGGUGUGAUGGAAACGCAACUCUACGUUUUGCUGGAGGUGUUGCUGAAGAGGGAAUCACCAUCCAACAAAGAAAUCAAAAUCUCCCUUUUAAUUCCACGAACAUCUGAAACCCCAAAAAUAUCAAAUUUUUCUCACCAAUUCGAAACCAGAACAAGCGAAGUUCUAUUAGGAAGAAACUCAAGAUGACCCCUCUUUUAACUCCAUAAGAAAAAAAAAACAAAACAAAACAAAACAAAACAAAAAUAAAAUCCAACUCAUAGUUAAGUAAGGCCAGAGUGAGAUCAUGGUGAUUGGUGGUGGGGGCUUCGUGGGCAUGGUUAUUGACGUUGGUGCUGGUUGAAUGGAAUAAAGGAGGAGGAAGAAGAGAAAUGCAAAGUAACAACCCGGGCCCCACUGUAUAAUGGUUAUUGACGUUGGUGGUGGUUGAAUGGAAUAAAGGAGGAGGAGGAAGAGAAAUGCAAUAUAACAACCCAAGCCCCACUGUAUAAUAUUGUCCGCUUUAGAGAUUGAGUCCUUACGGACUUAAAGGAACCCAAGCCGUUAUAAACUAGCUCCAGGACUCUCCCCUAAGCGAUGUGAGACGGGAGACAUGCCCUUAGCCUCACAUCGUCACAUUCUUCCCCCCCCCCCCCUUAAGGCACAGGGCCCUCGCAUACGCGGUCGAGAGUUGGCUCUGAUACCAUUUGUAACGACUCGAGCCCCACUGUAUAAUAUUGUCCGCUUUGAACACUAAGUCCUCAAGAUUUUAAAACACGUUAUACAAAUUAAAGAAACUCAAGCCUUUAUAAAUUAGCCCUAGGACUCCCCCCUAAGCGAUAUGGGACGGGAGACAUGCCCUUAGCCUCACGUCGUCAAUGCAAGGUACACAAAAGACUAGAGACUGACCAGUGAACCGCACCCUGGACAAGUGGCUAGCUAAAUAGAGUGUCCUACAAGAUAAGCCUACUUGAUAUUUUCUUGGAUAAAGGUGGCUUUGCGAAGUCUCAUUAUGGUACGGUUACACAAAUUAGGGGUGAACAUGAUUAUAGGAUAGACUCUGAAACUCUGAUGAAAAUCCUUCUGGUUUUAGGCUCUAAAGUAUGUAAGAUAGGUUCUAAAUUUCAAAAAUUUGGAAACUUAUUUGGAUGGGUAAGUUCAAAGUUCAAAGUUAGUGAAACCUAUAACUUAAAACCUAAAAUAAGUUCUUGUGUUUUUCUCAAUCUAUUUCUUCACGCGAUCUUACGGUAUUCCAUAACGUUAGAUGAUGAAUAUAUAAUCUGAAGCCACUAGCAUAAAUUUCCAUUUUAUGACUUAGACUUUUACUUUGUUAAUGUUGGAUUUUUUUAUGUCCAAAUAUAAGUUAUAGUUAAUGAAUUGUAGUAGCGAAUGGUGGUUAUUGCAAUCAUUUAAUUAAUGAUACACAUGGAACUUAAGUUAACCUUGGAACUUGUGAUAGAGUAGGUUAUAAGAUAUAAAGUAUGCAAGGUAGGUUCUACGUUCCAGAUUCUACAUUCCAGGUGGAACCUAUACAGAACCUGGACUACUCACUCCUAAUAUAGAUGGUCUAUGAACUUUCUCCUAUGUGCAAUGUAGUCUCUGAACUUUUAAUUUGUUCUAUGUGGUCCUUGAAAUUUAACCAAAUGUGCAAUAUCAUCCUUCAACUUUUGUGUGUUCAAUAUGAUUCCUAAACUUUUGGUAUAUAUUCAAUAUAAUUCCUAAAUAAUAUGAAAAAUGUCCGAUAUUAAUAGAAUAACAAUAUUGAACUACAUUCCACAUUGAGCUAAAGUUUAUAAACAAUAUUGAACAAAUUAAAAAAUUAUGCAUUAUAUUACAUAUUGAGUCAAAAUUUAGAGAUUAAUCAUGUCAUUUACUCAAUUUUCAUCUUUUUCUGUGUGGGAUGACGUCAAAGGGAGAGGUGGCAACGCAGAGUUCCAUUCCCUCUAAAAGAAUAUACUUGUCGGCAAUCAUGCGCUGGGGAUGACGUUAGGAAUGGGAAGCAUUGCUUAGUGCACCCUUGUAAUUUCGUAUACGACGCGACAUGAGAUAGCUUGUCCGAUUUUAGUGAGGAUAUGAAUCAACUGCUCAUGGAAAUAGGUCCAAUUCUUUUUUCCAAUUUUUGGAAUUGGUACUGUACGGGGAGGUUUUAGAUUGUGGGUGUUGAAUCCAUCCACCUAUCAACCACCGACUAAAACCUAUUUUAUAAAGUUGGAGGAAGAUGAUUUUAUCUUUUUAAAAUAAGCUUAACUUCCCUGUUGCUUUAAAGCCGUUUUCUUGUUUAUAUUAUUUUAUUAUAACUGCUAUUUCUCUUGGAUUUGUAUACAAACAAAGUGAAAAAAAAAAAAACAAUUCUCAAGUAGAUCUUGGAAUUGGAUCGUGCAAACAAGGUAAGAUUCUAGGUGGCUUUUGAAAAAAAAAAUGAUAGAUUCCAUGUUUCACAAACUACAGAUCGGUUCUCAUAGGAUAGUUUCGGUUCUGUAACCUAUUCUCUCUGAACCAAUUAUCCCUAGUUAAAACAAGCGAUCGAUGAUCAAAUGCCCAGAAAGAAAAAUCUGUUCCGUGUGGUUCUUAAUUAGUAGACGGUCACCGAAUUAGGUGGCCCGUUAUGGGUCACUCACUUUAAUGCUAGGUAAGGACAGGUCCUUUUUGGCUUGUUUCGCAUGGUUCAAACGUGCAAGUAAUGAUAUUUCUUUUUUCUUUUUUUGUCCUUUAUUUGGGUAGGAACUUCCCAAUUUGCACUGCACCGCACAAGCGGUUGGAGUAGAUUCUUAGAAAAUAUAAAAAGCACGAAACAUUAUUUAGUAUUCAUAUGCACAUUUAAACUUGAGCAAGUCCUUAAAAAAUCUUAUCCAAAUUCAGUCCGAAUUUCAAGACUUUCAAGUUGUAAAGCACUUAGAAGUAUGCUCUUCUCCUGGAAAAAAAAAACAAAAGACAAUCGGAAAGAGUAAAGCGUGCGAGCUCAAAUAUGUCAAAAUAAGGAAUGCAGUCUGACAGCUUGCCUUGUUGAAGAAUAAGCACAAACAAGUCAUACAUACAUUAAUUUCUCUAAAUACUACGUUGUAAAUCUAUAUCUAUUUAUUUGGCUGUCCUUACAUUGCAAAUUACUUCCUCGUUACCUAGGACUUGUUGCCAUCCGAAAUUAAUAUUUUCGAAACUUUUGAUGAUAAUUUAUGAAUGAAAUUAAAAAAGAACCCGCGAAGUAUGAAACAAUUGAACCCCGCGGGCGGUAUUGUUUGCCUAUAUGAACUAUUUUUCGACGUUCAAAAGAACAGUUCCCAGACACAACAUAGGAAAAUAUGAAGGAGACCAUAGUCCUCUACCCGUCGCCAUUGAGAGGUCACAUAGUCUCCAUGCUCGAGCUUGGACGGCUCCUUGGCAAACACCACCCUCGCUUCUCCAUCAUCAUCAUCCUCUCCUCCGCUUCCACCGCCGCCCCGGUCACCAACUCCUCUUCCAUCACUGUCCUCCACCUUUCAUCCACCGCCGCCCCCGCAGCAGCUGAGCUUGAUCAAACGCCCUUCGAUUUGGCCCGCCACAACACCUCCAACCUCCGCCUCGCCCUCGCCGCCAUCGCCUCCACCGCAGACCUCCGAGCCCUCAUCAUCGACGGCUUCUCAGAUGCCGCCUUCCCUGUGGCGGCAGCCCUUGGCGUCCCGACCUACUACUACUUCACCUCGGGUGCUGCUGCCCUCGCCGUCUUCCUCCACCUUCCAACGCUCCACGGGAGCACCACCAAGAGCUUCAAGGACCUUGGAGACGAGACCCUGAACAUUCCUGGGUUGCCUCCAAUCAAGGCCUCGGACAUGCCGUGG